rnacentral:lncRNA from 1 species
GUAAGUAUGAGAAGUGAUAAUUACCAUGAGUCUGACGAUCAGUUUAUCUAGUAGUGGUACGGAGGAGGUGGAGAUUUGUAAAGGUAGGGGUGGUGAGGAGGUGAGUAGUGAACCGGUGGAGGAGGAGAAUAGACGGGAGGUGGCGGCGAUUUGUAUUCGUAGUGUUUCUUUGGUGGUGGGGGAGAGUGGUAAACCGGAGGGGGAGGAGACUGGUAAACCGGAGGAGGAGGAGAUUUGUACUCGUAAUGCUUCUUAGGUGGUGGAGGAGAGUGGUAAACCGGAGGAGGAGGAGACUUGUAAACCGGUGGAGGAGGAGAUUUGUACUCGUAGUGUUUCUUAGGUGGUGGAGGAGAGUGGUAGACUGGAGGAGGAGGAGACUUGUAAACCGGUGGAGGAGGUGAUUUGUACUCGUAGUGUUUCUUAGGUGGUGGGGGAGAAUGGUAAACCGGAGGAGGAGGAGACUUGUAAACUGGUGGAGGAGGAGAUUUGUACUCGUAGUGUUUCUUAGGUGGCGGAGGAGAGUGGUAAACUGGAGGAGGAGGAGACUUGUAAACCGGUGGAGGAGGAGAUUUGUACUCGUAGUGUUUCUUAGGUGGUGGAGGAGAGUGGUAGACUGGAGGAGGAGGAGACUUGUAAACCGGUGGAGGAGGAGAUUUGUACUCGUAGUGUUUCUUAGGUGGUGGAGGAGAGUGGUAGACCGGAGGGGGAGGAGACUUGUAAACCGGUGGAGGAGGUGAUUUGUACUCGUAGUGUUUUUUAGGUGGUGGAGGAGAGUGGUAAACCGGAGGAGGAGGAGAUUUGUAAACCGGUGGAGGAGGUGAUUUGUACUCGUAAUGUUUCUUGGGAGGAGGUGGAGACUUGUAAACUGGAGGAGGAGAGUAAUGCUUAACCGGUGGUGGAGGUGAUUUGUACUCGUAGUCCUUCUUUGGUGGAGGUGGGGAUUUGUAAACCGGAGGAGAGUAGUGCUUUACCGGUGGUGGAGGAGACUUGUACACUGGAGGAGUGUAGUGUUUGACCGGUGGAGGAGGAGAAGAGUAGUAGUAAUUUGCGGUGGUUUCAGAUACAAAACCAAGAGAAAGUGCUAAGACAAGCAAAGUUGCUGCCAAAGAGGCCAUUGGUGACCCCAUAUUGUUAUGUGUUUUUCUUUGUGUUUGAUGCUCUUACUCUCUCCCCCUAAUCACCCUUUAUAUAGCUUUUCAAUUUCACUUUUUUAAUCCCUGAUGGUAAAUGCAUUUUUGUCAUAUGCAAUACAACAACAAUAAUUGACUAUGUAAUACAAAGAAAAGAAAUCAUGAGGUUGGUCUCUCAAACUUUAUUAUUGAUUUUUUUUUACCUUAUAUUAUUUUAGUCGUCGUUGAUCGAUUUGUUCAUGCAUGUUCUGAACAUAUCAUAUAUGAUUAAUAUAGAGAAAAUUGAAUCUAAAGCUAACAGAAUUUUCCAUGAAAUAUAAAAGGAGCCACACAAAAAAAAAUGACCGACAUUAUGCUAGACAUUGGUAAGAAAAAGAUGGAAAGUAAAGAAUAACACAUUCUGAGUGGUAAAUGUAACUAUGUAUGAGUUUAUUUACCAGGAAAUGAAAAUACCUUAUUUUAUUUUUAUUUAUUAUUAAAAUGCUAUCUUCCAAAAGGAUGGAUUAUACAAGUUUGAAUCUGAGUACCAACGCAUAAAUAAUACUCACACAAACUAUUAUGACACUUAAACUUCUUCAAAACAGUAAACUUUUAGAGUAUUGAAGCCAUGUCAUAUGAAAGAUAUGCAAAAUCCACUAUAUUUUAGUUGGAAUAUUUGCAUAUGUUUUACUGGAUAUAGAAAAUUAGAAGCCGCGUAAAAGUCUUGAAGAUUAAAGUUAGGCGGCCGAGUUGAAUGAAGAAGGAACAUUGAAGGAGAAGGUGGUCCGUCAUUCUCUUGUGCCGGUGUCAAUCUUUGAUUAUUUUUCUGUUUUGUUUUAGGGUUAGGUUUUUGCUUCACACGUUUUUAUAACGCGUUUCUUGUAAUUGCUCAGAUUAGUUUGUAUUCUAAUUACGUUUGAGAUUAAGACAAAAUAUAUUAAUUAUAAUGUUCUGCUAAAAAUUUUAACUGCAUUCGAGAAAGAUAUAUUCGUACUUUUGAAAUGAUGUAAACAACUCAACGAGAAAGAUAUAUAUAUAAAGUAUAUACAGUACACUAUAUCCUAACUUAUAUAUAAUGUUCAUGCAUUUUAUAAAUAAAUAUAAAAGGUGGAAGAUAAUUCAAUUUAUAGCCAGUUUUCUACUUGGAAAUAAGUUAAUACCAAAGCUUGGUCAACGCUAGAAAAUAACACAUUUUUGGAUAAUAUAAUGUAAAUGGUUUUUAUCAAAUGGGUAAGUAACCAGCUGGAUUAGGAUUUAGACAAAUCCACAACUAAACAUUCUAUAUAGUUUUUUUUUUCUCAAAAACCUGACUAUUUCAGGAUUAUUGGUUAGUUUUUUUUUUGUAACAUCAAAAGUUAUAGUAUAUAACUAAUUUUGACAAUUUUGAUGCUAAAGAAACUGACAGCAAACAAACUUAAUAUAAUCGCCGUCAUUGAUAAUUUGGUUUAAACAGGCUAUGCAUUGUUAUUGAAACACGGUACUCACUUGUGUCUACUUCAAAACAACUUGGUUCAAAAGAAAAGCACAUGAGUUCUAUAACUAACGUUAAUGGAAGUAUAUCGGAAAUUUGUGAACUGCAGCAACUGCAAACGAUUUUCCCUUUGUGAAAUCGGGUUUUUACUGAACUUUUUGUUGGUAAAUUUUUUUUUUGUUACUAAAUUUGGAUCCAUAAUAGCAUUAAACUCUCUUUUUUUUGCUUAGCAGAAUAGAAUUAAACUUAACAAUUAUGAAGUUACAUUUAUCUUUUGGUAGAAGUACUGUACGUUCAACAAGUCGCUUUGUUUGCUUUCUACUUUACGCUCAUGAUUUUCAAUAACCUACCAAACAAAUCAUUGACUUUUAAAACAAAAUCCCAUGCAAAAGUUAGUAAAGAGCAUUCCCCCUGAUUGAUUUUUUCAUAUAAAAAAUGAACAAGAAUCGUUAAAGCUAGUGUAAAGGCUACCCCCCCCCCCCCCCCCCCCCCCCCCCCCCCAUUGCGGAAAUACUUACCUGAGCAAAUUUUGUUUUAAAAGGUUUGUUUUGUAGUGAUAUUCAUCUGGACAGCUGAUGCAUGGUAGUAAUUAAUCAGUUUCAGAUAAAUAAACCAUUAGAUACUGAACGUCUUUAACCAUUUCGAACCUUGUUUGUUUUGUCAAUUCAUUCAGACUUUUCUUUAUCAAGUUAUUGAGAAGAUUAUUUCUUUUGUACAUUGGAAUAUCUUACAAAAUAAUUCUAUUUAUUUUGGUGUGAAAGCAUUGCAAAGGGUUCGUGGACUUCGAUGCGUCGCGGGGGCCAGGCGGCUUGUAUACGUCUUUCUUUAACAACUUUGUAUUCAUCUUUUGAUUUUGUCUUCUCUAAGAAAAACUCGUCCCUCUUAUUUUCUUACCUAUUUUCCAAAAUGCAUAAUUGUUAGUAAUCUUAACCGUACUUACCAUAACUGAAUGAUACAAACUUUGAACAUCUUACCUUUUUGUUGUAGUAUUCCAUGUCUAAGUUGUGAUAAUUGUUUCCAGGAUUAUCUACCCAGCAAGUAAACCCCAAUGGUUAUUAAGCUAACAAUAUUAUUGUAUAUUAUAUGAAAGCCAGGUUACAAAAUAAAAAUAAAAAAUAUAUUAUUGUAUAUUCUUUCUGUUCCAAUUUAGAUGAAAUUUUAGUCCAAAACACACAGAUUAAAGAAAUUUUUUUUUUUAUAUUCAAAGCAGUUGAUUACCAAAAAAGUAAUGCUAUUGAUACAAGUGAAUACAAAGUAAUAUAUUUAUUUUUAAAAGUUAAUCAGUUAUUUUAUUAGUUUUUACAUAAAAAGUCUCAAAAACUUCAUGUAAACUGAAAUAAAUAUUCUUUCUAAAACAUCAUCUAAUUAAAAAUGGAGGGAGUAUUACAUUUAUAAGUAAAGUGAGGAUACAUCGACGAUUGUGAAAUGCACUACGUCUACAUGUACACAUGUAGUAGGUACUGACUACUGACUAUUAGACCAAGACCUUGCGAAGUUUCUUUUGCUUUAGGGAAAUUAAGUUUUGUUGUUAUAUAGGUUUUGAAUAAAUAAAUUUAUAAGCACAGAGAAAAAACUCAACGAUAGUGAAAUGCACUAUAUGUACAUAUCUAGUAGGUAACUGAGUACCGAAUAUUAGACCAAGACCCAACAACUUUCUUUUGGUUUAAGGAAAUUAAGUUUUGUUAUACAUUUAACAUAUAACAUAUAUCAAACCUAUAAGUUUUGCUUCCGUUUUAAUCCCAUUGGCUCCGAAUUUACAGAAGAUGGAUAACAUAACUGGAAAUCUCAUAGCAUUAAAUCCAGAGUUGAUAUAUUGCAAACUAAACAGCGUUUUUCUUAUCGCUAACCAAUACUUUAUCCUUCAUUGUUUUAUCCAAUGAUAUACUUUAAAUUCGUCAAUAUUUGGUAAAUUCUAAGUCUACAAGCAAAAUAGCAAAAGAAGAGUUAUUGGAAAUAUUAGCUAACAAAAUAAUUUGCAUCUCGGAACUAUGACAAAGUAUAAUAAUUUCUUAAUAAUUAGACUAUAUAAUAAUAUAAUAUAAUACUAAAUAAUAUUGUUGAUUAGGUAGAAGUAGAAUAUAUUAUAUAUAUAUAUAUAUGUAAAAACUAAUAUAUAUAUCUAGAUCCACUAGCGUCCAUAUAUAUUAUAAAAUUCACGAAUACGAGUUUUCUUCAUCAAAUUGCAUCUUUUGGUAAAUAAAAAUUUAGCAAUCCCCUAAAGUCUUUCGUCCAGCCACAAAAAAAAAAUCUUCAAGAAUAAAUUAAAUAGCUAUUGGAUGCGAUGAAGAAUAUGUUAAUCACCGCCUGGUUAGGAGCAAUGUAUGUCGGAAAUAUAAUCUACAAAGAUAUUAGCUCAACUGAGCAUUUCACAUCCCCCCCACCCCCCCACCCCCCCCCCCCCCCCCAUUUAUAUAGUAAACGUAUAUCUUUUUAGGUUCUUUAUUACUACUAAACAAUACCGUACAAAUUAUAGUUUAUUUAUCAAGCUAUUUCGUUUUAGAAAGCAAAGCAAAAUCAUAUAUUAGUAAGAACCUAAAACAACUUCGUCUAUGUUAAACUUAAAAUAAAUGGCGUCCAAUCUUAACAAUAGUUUUGAUAAGGUGGAAUAAGUAUUAGCGUAAUCAAAUUUAAAGUGAUUCAAGUGGUGUAAGCUAUUUUUUUAAUAUAUUGUCAAUUAGAACUCUAUGAUUGAGGUGACGACUAAGUGCUAAGGAAUUCAAAUAUAUGUUCAAAAACUAGUGGCUAAACAAUACUUAUUGCUCGUAAAGUCGUAAUACUGUCAAGCAUAUUUAAGAUAUAUAGUGAAUCAGUGAUAAGUCGUAUUUGUUCAUUAGUCUUAGCAGUAAAUAUGGUCAAAGUUUACUAUCUGUAAUGCAAAAUAUCUUAAGUAUAUGUGCUAUUUGAUGAAGUUAUCAGAAAAUUAAAAUCAAUUUGCCUCCAAAGUCGCAUACUUAUUGCUCGUAAUUCAACUACGGAGCCAUCUGCUUGGCCAUAAUUCAACUACGCUUCUUGAGCCACCAGUCAUAUCAUUCUUUCUGUAAAUAGGUGGUUCAUUUUGUACUUUUCUCAAAUUCUUUUACUUUGGCUAAAAUGAUAUACUAACAGAGAAAUCUCGAAUACAUUAAAUCAUAUUGUUAUAUGUGAUCAAAUCAUGACUCCGAAAGCAAUCACGUCUCUCUGUUUGAUACAGAAAGUUUACACAUUCAUGCAACGAAUAUAACAAGAAUCACAAGAUAACGUUACAUAAUUCAAACGACAAAAAAAGAUUUAAAUAAAAAUUAUAAUAUAUUUGAACUUAUCUCAAAUAUCAUAAGUCGUCCACGACUACAGCACCUCCAAUUCCAAACAUGUCUUCAUAUGAUCCAUAUUACAUUAAUUAAUAUUGGAAGACAAAAAAAUAUAAAUAUUUUCAAAUCAAAGAGAAGACAAAAAGAGAGGUAUGCAAGUCAAAAAUGUGAACUGAGAAAGAAGAAAUUUUAUAAAAUUAAAACUUGUGGAGAAAGCAGAGCAAAUAAUAUAGAAAUUUCAUAAAACCCAAGGAUCAAAAUAAUUCAAUCAUUAUCUAAAACCAAGUUUUUUUUUUUGUUAUGAACAUUUGAUACCAACUUUGUAACAUGAAACAUGAGUUUGAAAUCUAGGAAAGGAACCAAAUAUAUAUAAAUAGCCUUUUAAGUUUCUAUCUCCUCAGAUUCUACACACUCCAAUAUAUUUGUUUCUCUUGACUCAGGUUUUGCUUUAACAAUACAAUAAUACAAACAAGUGCUGUAAUGUUCGGUUUCGUUGAGAUUCUACUUGAAGAAGAUGAUGUCUCUUCUCGCUAAAAGACUAGCAGCAGCAGACGCAGAGACAAUAAAAUUACCAUUUGGUUGAUGUAGUGCCCCAUCACCUCCUUCCUCGUUGUCCCGGUCUUGAACUUGGUUUUCUUGAAAACUGAAGCCGUAAGAACUUGGAAUCAGGGUCGUUUUCAUCCAUUCGAUAGCCUGUCAAAUGUAUUGGUUUUAAAAUAAUGCGAGUUUCAGAUCAUAGGGGACAGAGUUUAUGGUUCAGGGCUUUAGAGCAUUAGUUGAUUUAAGGUUCAGGCUAUUGCAUUAUAGCAUAUAGUGUGGAAACAGACUCAUGAUAAAUGUGUAAUAACUGAUAAGAGACUUAGUAAGCUUAUUAUAUACCUUGUAAGGUGCUCAGAGCAGUUGCUGCACAGGCAGGGUUUGUAAAAUCAACAAAGCAAAGAACAACAGGAUCUCCGUUCCGCUGCAUCAACCAUAAACAUUAUCAACCCUUUAGUAGUGAUUCUCAAUCUCAGCUAUACCCGAAACUUUAAAUCAUAGGGUAUGCUUACGUGUUUGGAGUCUUUGGUCACAAGUCUCACUUCUCUAUAUCCUACAAAAGGUCGAAAGAUAUCUAGACACCGGUUAAGGAAAGUGGAGAGUAGAUAGGUUCCAUUCAGAACAAACAAAAAAAAAAAAGAGAAAAAACUUUGUCAUGUCUGAUGAAAAAGGAUACGAGCAACUUCCCUCCUAGAGCAAUUAGAAGGAAGACCUUCAACGUAGAGAGUGUUUGACGCAUCUGGAGGUAGAGGAAGUGGCUCACGGUUACGCCUAUCAACAGAAUCUAUCGGAUCAAAACCCAUAUCCCGACCGUUUAAACCGUGAACUCCACCACCACCACCGCGUCUCAUCAUAAACUCGUCCAUAACUACACCAUUACGAGGAGGACCUGAAUCUCCCAAUGGCAUAGAACUCGUUUGCUGCAAACACAGAGACAUAAAUAAACUUCAGGUCAAUAAAAAAGAAAACAAGAAUGCUCAAAAAAACGAAUCAAGAAGAAGAAAAAGCACCACGCUUUGGAGGUAUCGAUCAUAAGCUGAUCCAAUAGUUCUUGUAUCAAUAUCCUCAUCACGCGGGAAGUAACCACCACCACCACCGUGCAUCUCAUGGCCUGCAGACGAUGGAGCUUCUACAAUAAGACAAAACAUGUGAAUUCACUAAUAUCCUUCAAUCUUUUCUGAUUAAUAGCAUUAGUCUAUAUGUGUUCUUGUGUUAGAUUAUCGUGAACUUUGGGGGCUGUAGACGAUUUAGUAAAGUUUUAUACGAAAAAUUUAGAGGCUAUAUAAGUCUAAUGUUUCAGUGGCCUAUGCUCGCCGGCCCAUAAUAAGAUCUCUCUUUAUCCGUGGACGUAGCUAAUUUAGUUAAUUAAUCUGUUUCCACAUUUAUCUAAUCACAUUCAAGGAAACUACUAAGAGCAUUCAAUGUUUCACUGGCCUAUCCGACGCCGAUAAGAUCUCUCUUUAUCUGUGGACCGUAGCUAAUUUAGGCUUCGAAUGGUAACCCGCUUUCCGCCCCGUAGUUAACAGUAACAAAAAUCUCUAUAUAUACCAUAUAUCUAUACAUUUUUAUAACUGUUAAAACCGCACCGCAGUUAAACCGGUUGUCCCGCACCGCUCAACCCGCAGUCACCAUUCGGAGCCUUAGUUAAUUAAUCUGUUUCCACAUUUAUCUAAUCACAUUCAAGGAAACUACUAAGAGCAUUCAAUGUUUCACUGGCCUAUCCGACGCCGAUAAGAUCUCUCUUUAUCUGUGGACCGUAGCUAAUUUAGGCUUCGAAUGGUAACCCGCUUUCCGCCCCGUAGUUAACAGUAACAAAAAUCUCUAUAUAUACCAUAUAUCUAUACAUUUUUAUAACUGUUAAAACCGCACCGCAGUUAAACCGGUUGUCCCGCACCGCUCAACCCGCAGUCACCAUUCGGAGCCUUAGUUAAUUAAUCUGUUUCCACAUUUAUCUAAUCACAUUCAAGGAAACUACUAAGAGCAUUCAAUGUUUCACUGGCCUAUGCUCGCCGACGCCGAUAAGAUCUCUCUUUAUCUGUGGACCGUAGCUAAUUUAGGCUUCGAAUGGUAACCCGCUUUCCGCCCCGUAGUUAACAGUAACAAAAAUCUCUAUAUAUACCAUAUAUCUAUACAUUUUUAUAACUGUUAAAACCGCACCGCAGUUAAACCGGUUGUCCCGCACCGCUCAACCCGCAGUCACCAUUCGGAGCCUUAGUUAAUUAAUCUGUUUCCACAUUUAUCUAAUCACAUUCAAGGAAACUACUAAGAGCAUUCAAUGUUUCACUGGCCUAUGCUCGCCGACGCCGAUAAGAUCUCUCUUUAUCUGUGGACCGUAGCUAAUUUAGGCUUCGAAUGGUAACCCGCUUUCCGCCCCGUAGUUAACAGUAACAAAAAUCUCUAUAUAUACCAUAUAUCUAUACAUUUUUAUAACUGUUAAAACCGCACCGCAGUUAAACCGGUUGUCCCGCACCGCUCAACCCGCAGUCACCAUUCGGAGCCUUAGUUAAUUAAUCUGUUUCCACAUUUAUCUAAUCACAUUCAAGGAAACUACUAAGAGCAUUCAAUGUUUCACUGGCCUAUGCUCGCCGACGCCGAUAAGAUCUCUCUUUAUCUGUGGACCGUAGCUAAUUUAGGCUUCGAAUGGUAACCCGCUUUCCGCCCCGUAGUUAACAGUAACAAAAAUCUCUAUAUAUACCAUAUAUCUAUACAUUUUUAUAACUGUUAAAACCGCACCGCAGUUAAACCGGUUGUCCCGCACCGCUCAACCCGCAGUCACCAUUCGGAGCCUUAGUUAAUUAAUCUGUUUCCACAUUUAUCUAAUCACAUUCAAGGAAACUACUAAGAGCAUUCAAUGUUUCACUGGCCUAUGCUCGCCGACGCCGAUAAGAUCUCUCUUUAUCUGUGGACCGUAGCUAAUUUAGGCUUCGAAUGGUAACCCGCUUUCCGCCCCGUAGUUAACAGUAACAAAAAUCUCUAUAUAUACCAUAUAUCUAUACAUUUUUAUAACUGUUAAAACCGCACCGCAGUUAAACCGGUUGUCCCGCACCGCUCAACCCGCAGUCACCAUUCGGAGCCUUAGUUAAUUAAUCUGUUUCCACAUUUAUCUAAUCACAUUCAAGGAAACUACUAAGAGCAUUCAAUGUUUCACUGGCCUAUGCUCGCCGACGCCGAUAAGAUCUCUCUUUAUCUGUGGACCGUAGCUAAUUUAGGCUUCGAAUGGUAACCCGCUUUCCGCCCCGUAGUUAACAGUAACAAAAAUCUCUAUAUAUACCAUAUAUCUAUACAUUUUUAUAACUGUUAAAACCGCACCGCAGUUAAACCGGUUGUCCCGCACCGCUCAACCCGCAGUCACCAUUCGGAGCCUUAGUUAAUUAAUCUGUUUCCACAUUUAUCUAAUCACAUUCAAGGAAACUACUAAGAGCAUUCACUGCUUCACUGCUCUAUGCUCUCCGAUGCCGAUAAUAAUAAGAUCUCUCUUUAUCCGUGGAUACGUAGCUAAUUUAGUUUAUUAAUCUGUUUCCGCAUUUUAUCUAAUGGCAUUCAAGGAAACUACUAAGAGCAUGAAGCUGAUGCGUAUAUCUAGAGAGAGAGAGGGGCGCGGCGUAAGAGGAGAAAGGAGGUUACCGAAAUCGGAACGGCGGCGUUUUGGAGGACCACCAGGAGGAGGAUGCUGCUGGUGUCGCUGCUGCUGGUUCCAGAACCCAUCCGCCAUCGAAAGCUCUAGUUUCAAUGGAUGUCUUCCGAUUCUAGCUCGCUAGCUGCUUCGAUUUCGAAUCGUCUCCCCUUGAUUUCGAUUGCUUAGGGUUCGAUCUCGAGAUUUUCUGAUUCCAUUCUUCCGCCCGGGAGUUUAAAGAUCCGAAUCGUGUCGACCCGGUCCGGUAUGAUUUGAUUUGACCCGAUCAGUGCCAGCAACGUUGAUCUCUUUUAAAUGGGCUUGUAGCGUUGGCCCAUGUGUAACAAAGUUUUACUUUCAGGCCCAUUUGCUCCGAUUUCAGUUUGGUCGUAUACCUCCAUAGAAUGAGAUCUUAAACCAUGAUAAAUUGAUUUUUUUUAAGAGUAAACUUCUUUCAACUGAAAUCGAAAAGAGUUUUAUCGACUAAAUCAAUUUUUUCUGAUAAAAAUAUACAUAUUAUUUUUGCAAUAUAUCAUAAUUGAAUGUGUGCAAAGCGUAUCACGGAUUGUCGCAUGUCUAUCUAUAGCUUCUUUCUUAAAUACUUUGAUCUUGUCGUGAAGUAUUUAUGAUUCUCUCAUAUGCUGACAAGCAAUAUCACAAUGAAGAAACUUUGAAUAAGUGAGUGAAUAGUUGAGAUAUAUAAUAAAUACAUGUAUGAAGAACGACAAAAUAAAAACAAAAUGUUUUUAAUAUUACAAGUGUAUAUAUAAAGGUAGGAGAUGUGGAGAUGUCAUACGUAAAGAGAGGGGUCCAAUGCAGAACAACAACCAACAAAGUAAGUAGAUAUCCAUGUUUCCUUGGAGCUUUUCUUUUUGUUCACCGAAUUACUUUCUUUUGUUCUUAAGCAUUUGCCUUCAUCAUCACUUUAUUCUUUAUUUCUCUAAUGUCCAAUCAUACAAUCUAUCAUCGCAUUAUCUCCUAUUGCGUUAAUUUUCCCACCAAAACCUUUUUACUAUAGGUUUUAACUGUUUUAUGCAUGAUUAAAUACAGAUUAAAUAUAUAUAUAUAUAUUAUAUCUCAGGACUUUAUGAUAUGAAGAAUGUUUAUUUAGUGAGUCUUUACGUUUCAGAAAGUAUUAUAUGCACCAAAUGUAUGCCCAUUGAUCUAGUUACAAAGAUUGUAGAAGACUACGUACGUACGUAUAUAUUGUUCCUUUCAAGGCACUCAAAAUUUCCCAUUCAAAGAAAGUUUUAAGUCUAGUUUUGUUCUACUUAUAGUACAUCAAUAUAGUAUUCAAAUAUACUGUAUUUUGUUUUAGUCUAGAUGACACAAACAUUUCAACAUACAUAUUAGGAUAUGUUAUAAAUAUUGUGCAUAUGAUAGUUAAUUUAUAUAUUUUGUAUGGGAAAUUGGACUACAACUUUUGUGUCUUGGUUCUUGGGCAUAUGCAUCAUCCAAUCCAAGGUUUCGAUUUGCUUUUACAAAACCAAGACUAGCUAAAUCCUAUGUAAUUAUGCAUUGUUAUCAAACAAUAUCACAUUCACAUUCGUUUAUAGCCACUAAACUAUUUAAUCUGUCAAUGAAAAUUUUAAAAUCACACAUAUUAAAUAAAGAGACCAUAAAAUAAGUAUAAACUGAUUAAAGAAGAAGAAACAAGGUUGAUGAAAUAAAAUGGAGAUACAAUAUUAUUGUUGUUUCACAAUAAAGUGAUACAUUCUCCUCGAGUAACUCCCCGAAAUGUGGACGGAAAGCACCAAACCAAACGGGCCCACUCACCCCCUUAGGAUUGUUUUUGGCUUUUCACUUCUACCGGCAACUAACAUUCAACGUGGAUGUGGCGAAGAAUAAACCUCACCGUCCACGUAAACUACUAGAAUACCUCCAGUCUUAUGAGUUCUUAGACCGGAUUUAAAAUGUGAAAGGUAAAAUUCAGAACAUUUGUGAUUCAAAUAGUAACAAAACCAUAUUUAAAGAUACAUAUGGCGUAUGUGGUGCGGUUGCUCACCGUUCCAAAUCUAAAUGAACCAGCCUAAUUUAACCGGAAUUACCAUUCCAAUCAGUUUCACUAACUUUCUUAUAAGACGUUUUGAAAUAUGAUCAUCGGUUUAUUUAAACUAUUAAGGAAUCUACAUGAUGAUAUUGAAAGAAUGAAAAAGUCAAUAUAUUAUUCACAUUUUAAAAACAAACACAAAUUUUCAUAAAACAAAUACUGCAUGCAGGUAAUCAAAAGUGUUUUAUUUAAUAAACUCAACACGGAUUAGAGAAAAGUCGGUUAAGUUGACCUUGUGGAUUGUCUUGUUAUCUCUGAAAUUGAUACGAAUACGGUGUAUCCAUUCUCAUACCACCAAAAUUUUUUGUUGAUUCUUAACAUUUUAUUCUGUGUAUCAAAUUAUCAAUCCUGUUUCAUAUGAUAUCAUAUCAUCUCUGCCCUUUUUUUUUUAAUAAAACAAGCAUAAUUUAAGAUUAUGACUUAGAAUGUUUACAACCGCUCCGCCCCGCACCACACUUAACAGUAACAAAAAUUUCUAUAUAUACCAUAUAUCUAUAUGUUUUUAUAACUGUUAAACCCGCACUGCAGUUAAACCGCUUGUUCCGCACCGCUCAAACCGCAAUCACCAUUCGGAGCUUAUAAUUUGAUUUACUGAAUGUAACUACUGCAUGGGGAACGCCUCUUUGCUUCUUUUUCUCCCUUCACUAGCCUCAAUAGACUUUCAUAGGGAUGCCUCCUACAUAUUAUUAUAUUUUCUAAAGUUAUUUAUAAGAAAAUACAAAAAUGGAAAACAGAAUAAAGUAUUAAAUAAUUCGAGAAAAAAAAAACAGUUUCCUUUAUUUAAUUAUUCGUAUUUUACCGUAUCCGGACUCAGUCUCUCACACCGUCGUCACUUUUUUUUUAUAUUUGGUCUUCCUUGUGUCAUCGCUGUCUCUGACUUCCCUGUCUCCUCCUCCUCCGCCUUCCCUUUUGCUUCUCCGCCGUAUAUUCUCUCUCACCGCCACCACUAGUAUCGCCGAAAAGUCACAAGCUUUACUAAAGCAUCACCAUUUUGCGUAAUCAAAUUUGGCUUCUUCUAAAAUUCUUAAAAAUCAAAGUCCCGGUCUUUGGUGGAAGCUUCGUUAGAUCUGACAAGUCAAUUAAGGCAGUGCCCAUCUCGAAAGUUUUCACCUUUACGUUUCAUUAGCCGGUGUUUACGGUAUUGAUGGUUUCCACGGCGGCUAGGACCUCCUCCGGGGCUUUUGUUUGUUGUAGAUGAUGAACGGUGAGGAUCGAAGAGGGUGGUGGUGUCGUCGUUCUGGUGAUUGUUUCACAUGGAAUGGCAGAUCUUGUGUCCUAUAGUAAUGCUCCUCCUGACCACAACGUUGAACAAGUCCGUCUCUUUCUAUCCCUCUUGUCUUCGCUGCUACGAUGUCUGUUUAGUAGAAAAGCUCUAAUCUUUGUCUUAGCGAUGGAAGGACGGUUGAUUAGUACUUGUAUGAAGCUCAAAGUUGAAAACUUUAAGAGUUUUUGUUUGUUUAAUUACAUUUAGGCUUAAGGAACCGUAACAUUGUAGGUGUAUACAUUCAAUUGUUAUGUUCUGUGAUCUUAUAUGCAAAGUGACCAUUUAAACAUGAUUAAUUGUUGAUGAUGCAAGGGAACUUUGCUGUCUUUGCAGCUAGUUUCUUGUGUCCUUAUGUGUAUCAUUUUGCAUUUUGGCAGGCAUUGAUUACAUUGAAGAAGGGCUCUCAGCUUUUGAAGUAUGGUCGCAAAGGAAAGCCGAAGUUUUAUCCUUUUAGACUCUCUAGUGUGAGCAACAACACUUAGUCUCUAAGCUAUCUAUUUUUGGAUAAUUGCUUCAUCUGAGGAAACUAUGCUCGUUGGUGUUUGGUUACGCAGGAUGAAAAGUCUCUGAUCUGGAUAUCGAGCAGCGGCGAAAAGCGGCUUAAGUUAGCUUCUGUAUCUAAAAUUGUACCUGGGCAAAGAACUGUAAAGACAUUCUUCAUUUCUUUAAAACAGUAUAUAAACCAUUCGUCUUUGGCUGGCUUUCAAGAAAGAUCUGAUAAGCCAUUUACUCUUUUUUUUUUGCAAUAGGCUGUUUUCCAGCGUUACCUUCGCCCAGAGAAAGAUUACUUAUCAUUUUCUCUCUUAUACAACGGAAAAAAGAAGUCUCUUGACUUGGUUAGUCAUUAUGAAACUGAUACAACUUUAAUAUCUCAGAAACGCUUGAUAAUAACUCUCCAGGCGUAAAUUUUUUACUUCUUGAUAGAUUUGUAAGGACAAGGUUGAGGCUGAAGCUUGGAUUGGAGGUCUUAGAGCAUUGAUAUCUGCAGGGCAAGGCGGACGGUCAAAGAUUGAUGGCUGGAAUGGCGGAAACAUCUCAGUUGAUGUAAGUAUUCAGGCAAAGACUCUUUGUUUUGUAUCAUGGUUCUAAAAAUCAGUUUAGGCCACCAAAAUUUAUACCAUGUUUAAAUCGAUAUAAAUUAAUCUAAAAUCUGUUAAAUUAAGUAAUAAUAUUAGAAAAAAAAUCUGUAGGUUGUAAAUAUUGAUUAUCAAUUGCCGAAAUGGAAACUUUUAUGAAUUGCUUCCCGCCCAAAUAAUAAUAAAAAAAUGUGUUGUCAUAAUCUUAUUUCUAAAUUGUAUCUUUUUGUAACAUAUAACUCCAUAUAUUCAGCAAAGAUAUUAUUCCUUUAUUUGUUACUCAUAUAGAAAUACAAUUUGCUAGACCACAAUAUAGUCAUUCAUUAAAAAUAAGUAACAAAUUUUGCUUAUAGACAGUUAUUCCCCAACUAUAUAUCCACUAAAUCACGCUAUCUUACAUAAAAAUAAACAAAUAUAGGGUUAAUGCUAUCACAAAUCGAUAAUAUAUGGAACUUAGUAAGUUAUAAGUAUUACCCUAAGCAUGUCUAUAUAAUAAGUAUACACUCAAGGUAUUCCAUUAUCCCCUACACACCAUCAACCAUAAACUCUUCUUGCUGUUUUGUUAUACUAUUUUUGCAAAUGGCUUUUUUAAAUUCAGUUUCUGAACUGAAACCAUUUAAGAAUAUGAAGAAAACCAAGGCGAAAAUAAUAAGGUUUUGGAGACAGUAUUCGUCCCAAAGAGGAAGUCUAGUUCUAAGUGACACAACCGUGAGUGAUUUUUGUUUUCACACUUCUUUUUUUUUUAAUAUAAAUCUGCCAAACUUUUAUUUAUAUGUGUUCAUCAUAAGCUGAAGCUAUCUACAAUUUCGCAAUUUAACUUUUGUUGUUCUUAUGGCUAUUACCUAGUGAUCUAUUACAGUUUAGGUGAUAAGUUUGUUUUGUAUACACUGCAGGCCAGCAGAGACUUGACAUCGAGCAGUCAAAGCAGCAGCUCCGCGACCACUUCACAUAGCCACAGCUCUCCUGGGACUCCCUUUAGUUUCGAUCCAAUCGCUUCUCCCAAGAGCGAGGUACCUUCAACCGAUUCAGAGAAGUCACAUGUUUUACUAGACACCAAAGCCAUGCAAACAAAGGUAUCCGGUUCAGACGGGUUCCGAGUCAGCGUCUCCAGCGCCCAGAGCAGUUCCAGCCACGGCUCCGGGGCAGACGACGCAGACGCGCUAGGUGACGUGUACAUCUGGGGCGAGGUCAUUAUCUCUGACAAUGCCGUGACCACCACGAGAACAGACGUCCUUGUCCCUAAGCCGUUGGAGUCAAACAUCGUCCUCGACGUUCACCAGAUUGCUUGCGGCGUACGGCACGCCGCGUUUGUGACGAGGCAGGGAGAGAUUUUCACUUGGGGGGAAGAGUCAGGAGGGAGGCUAGGCCACGGGAUGGGGAAAGACGUUUUCAACCCUCGUCUCGUUGACUCCCUCGCAACUAACUUUGACUUUGUUUCCUGCGGAGAGUUCCACACGUGCGCCGUGACUCUCUCGGGAGAGCUUUACACGUGGGGAGACGCCACGCACAGCGUCGGCCUUCUAGGGCACGGAUCGGAUAUCAGCCACUGGAUACCGAAGCGAAUCGCUGGACCUCUCGAAGGGCUCCACGUGGCGUCGGUGGCGUGCGGGCCCUGGCACACGGCUCUGGUGACGUCUCACGGGAGGCUUUUCACGUUUGGGGACGGGACGUUUGGGGUGUUGGGGCAUGGCGAGAGGGAGACGGUUAGGUCUCCGAGGGAGGUUGAGUCUUUGUCAGGGCUGAGAACGAUUGCGGUUUCGUGCGGGGUGUGGCACACGGCGGCUGUGGUUGAGAUCAUCGUCGCGCCGCAGUCGAACGCUAGCUCAGGGAAGCUGUUCACGUGGGGGGACGGGGAUAAAAACCGUCUCGGGCACGGUGAUAAGGACGCACGUCUUAAACCGACGUGCGUCCCUUCACUUAUUGACUACAACUUCCACAGAGUCGCGUGCGGGCACAGCUUAACAGUCGGGUUGACUACUUCUGGACAGGUGUUCACGAUGGGGAGUACAGUCUACGGCCAGCUCGGGAGCUUGCAGACGGACGGGAAGGUGCCGUGUUUGGUGGAGGACAAACUCGCGAGCGAGUUUGUCGAGGAGAUCUCUUGCGGUGCGUAUCACGUGGCGGUGCUGACGUCUAGAAACGAAGUGUACACGUGGGGGAAAGGAGCUAACGGGAGGUUAGGGCACGGCGAUUUGGAGGAUCGAAAAGUGCCGACUCUAGUGGAAGGUUUGAAGGAUAGGCACGUUAAGUACAUUGCUUGCGGGUCAAGCUACACCGCGGCGAUUUGUCUGCAUAAAUGGGUGUCUGGCGCUGAGCAGUCUCAGUGCUCAGCGUGUAGGCUAGCGUUUGGCUUCACGAGGAAGAGGCAUAACUGUUAUAAUUGCGGACUUGUUCAUUGUCAUUCGUGCAGCUCCAAGAAGGCGUUCGGAGCUGCGUUGGCUCCGAGCGCUGGGAGGCUGUACCGUGUCUGCGACGUUUGUUAUGUUAAGCUGAGUAAAGUUUCGGAUACGAGUAGAAGGAACAGCGUCGUGCCGCGUCUCUCGGGGGAGAAUAAGGAUAGAUUGGAUAAAUCUGAGAUAAGAUUGGCGAAGUUUGGUGCGUCUAAUGUGGAUUUGAUCAAGCAGUUGGAUAGCAAAGCUGCUAAACAAGGGAAGAAGAGUAGUGAUAACUUUCGCAACUCUCAGCUGCCUUCUCUGUUGCAGCUGAAAGAUGUGGUGCAGUCAAGGUCUAAUGCUCCAAAGCUGGUUCAGGCUCCGUCAGGUAUUAGCUCCAGGUCGGUGUCGCCUUUCUCCAGGAGGUCUAGUCCUCCUCCACGGUCUGCUACUCCUUUGCCUUCGACUUCUGGAAUCUAUUUCCCUGUGGGGAUGGCGGAUAAUAUGAAGAAAACUAAUGAGAUUCUGAAUCAGGAGAUUAUUAAGUUACGAACACAGGUAUGGAUUUUGAUCAUGCUUGCUUCUUGUGCGUUGGUUCUCCAUGGUCUUUAUGCACUUUUUUGAUUUGGGUUUAGGUUGACAGUUUGACUCAAAAGUGUGAGCUUCAAGAAGUAGAGCUCAAGAACUCGGUUAAGAAGACUCAGGAAGCCUUAGCGUUGGCAGAGGAGGAGUCUGCUAAGUCGAGAGCUGCUAAGGAGGCAAUAAAGUCACUCAUAGCUCAGGUACAAUCUGUUUUGAUGAUAUAUAUACAGUAGGCCUGCGGAUUUGAACCAAACCGAACAAAUUUUUUUUUGGUUUUCGGUUCAUUUUUCGGUUUAAAGUUCGGUUUGGUUCAGAAAUUUUUUGAAAAUAUUUCGGUUGUUCGGUUCAAUUUUGAUGAGUUUGGUUUUCAGAAAAAUAGUAACGAGAAUUCCAAAAAUUAACCAAAAUAACCGAACCAAACUUAACAAAAAUAACCAAAUUUAACUGAAAAUAUCCGAGCUUUUUAAAAACUAUUACAAAAUCUAACCGAAACCCAAAAAAAACGGCUAUUUUCGGAAAAAAAUAUAAAACCGAAAUUAACUGAAAACCGAAUCCAUAUAUUUUUGGUUUACUUCGGUGGUGGGAUUGUACCCGCACCGAACUAACCGAAGCCAAAACUACCCGGCCUAAUUAACCGAAUUAACCAAAAUCGCAUGCCUAUUAAUAUAUUUGUGAACUGCAUUGAAGCUUGACGUGUAAUAAGCUAAUCUUUGAUUCUGUAGCUUAAGGAAGUAGCUGAGAAGUUGCCUCCUGGUGAGAGCAUCAAACUGGCCUGCCUUCAAAACGGUUUCAAUUUCCCUGAAGAAAACGGUUUCCUUCAUUCAAGAUCAGAGUCCAUGACUUCCUCUGUAUCUUCAGUUGCUCCUUCCGACUUCGCCUUUGCGAAUGCAUCUUCUCGGUCCAGUCUCCAAUCGCCAAACCACACUCCUAGAGCCUUCGAAAGAAACAAUGGUUAUCCAGCAGACCCGCGGCUUAGCAGCAGCGGGUCAGUAAUCAGCGAGAGACACGAGCCUUUCCAGUUCCAAAACGACAAUGGUUCGAGCCACACAGGGGCUGUGGACAGUACUAAUGAUGUAGAAGCAGAGUGGAUCGAACAGUAUGAGCCUGGCGUGUAUAUAACCCUUGUGGCACUCCAUGAUGGAACUAGAGAGCUAAGAAGAGUCCGCUUCAGGUUUGUUCAUGUUCUUGAGCUAUGUGUUUACUAGUAAGUGUGAUUGAUGAUGCUGAAAGGUUUUGUUUUUGUUUGCAGCCGGAGAAGAUUCGGUGAACAUCAAGCAGAGACAUGGUGGUCGGAGAAUCGAGAAAAAGUGUAUGAGAAAUAUAAUGUGAGAGUGUCUGAAAAACCAACAGCUUCUCCAACGCAUAGAGACCGAGACCAUGAAGAAGAAGAUGUUGCUCAGUAGGUUUUGCAUUCAUGAGUUUUAGUUUUCUUUGCAUUUUACCCCGAAACUCUUCAUUUGUUCAACUUAACCCUUCUUCCUUUUGACCCACUCUGUUUGGGAGGUUAAUGUUCAUGUCCUUAGAUGUAAUGUUGUAUAUAUAAAAAGACCAUCUGUUCUCGGUUCACUUUAGCAACAAAAACAAAACCAUAUUAAGAACAAUCAAUUCAAGUGUUGAAGUCGUCUUGCUUUUGACUUUUUGAAGUUGGAAGUAAUCUUGACUUUUUGUGAUUAAGAAGAGACUAAUGACAACCAUUUGUCGUCAUUACCUAAUUGUGUGACUAAUACGUUUGCCAAAACACAAGUCAAAACUACAACUAACAUAGCAACUCUUUUUUUUUUUUGUUCAAACCUUCAUUCAUUCAUUUAAGCAACUAAAGUUCAUCAGUACUAGCAAUCUCAGAGAGACUGUUAGAGAGCUGAAACAAAGCAUUUUUUGCCAGCCUAUCAGCCGGUUCGUUACAAACACGAGAAAUAAAUCGAAACGAGAUAGAGUUGAAGGAAGCACUCAACACGCCAAUGUCAUGGAGUAUCCCUCUAAUAGCAACCACAGCCUUGUUUCCUGUGAUUAUAUCAAUAAGACUUUUUGAAUCCGAUAAACAGAUCACGUCUUUGAUGCCAGAGAAAGCAGCCUUUGAGAGGCCUGCAAGUAACGCUAACGCUUCUGCUGCUAGGGCUGAGGCAAUAUAGCGUUUAGUCUCGGUUCCUUGGAAGCGGUAAGACCCUGCUGAGUUCGUACAAAUCCAGCCAAGUCCACCUGCAAGAGAAGAAGCAUUCCAGGCAGCAUCCGAGUAUAAUAUGCUAGCAACUUCCGGAACUUGAUGAGAGUUCGAACUGACGUUGUCUUUAUUUGAAACAGAGCUUUGUUUUCGGGGAGGCAGAGACUCUUGCCAUUCCUUCGCUGCUCUAAUCGCUUUUGCUAACAUCUCUGUUUCUGAGAAAGACUUGUCUUCGAACAAGAACUGAUUUCUGCUAGUCCACAAGACCCAAAGUAACCAUGGGUAUAAGGGUUUAGACAGACCUGUUGGUGGUAGAUUUGUCAUCCGGGAGCUCGAUAUAAGGAGGUCCUCCAACGAGUUGCAAACUGCUCGAGAUGGAAUUGCCAUAGCUGGUACCAGGUCCCAGACUUUUCUCGCUAUAGGGCACUCAAACAUCACAUGGAAAACAGAUUCACUAGCUCCACAUCUCUUACAGUUUCCUUCAACUUGCAUUCCACGCCUAACCAGAGCUUCCCCUACUGCUAGAGCAUUAUUCUUCAGCUUCCAUAAGAACUGUCUGAUUUUUGGCGAGCAUUCGACACUCCAUACAUAGCGUUUCCAGUUGAAUGUUUGUACCGGGUCACCAUUGUGAAUUUUGGUCAGUGCGUACCCUGUUUUGGUUGAGUAGCUCCCUGAUUUCUCCGGUAGCCAGACCAGCUCAUCUUCUUGUGCUGCACACGCCGAUAGCUUCAUGAUUUGCGCCUGAUAUUGCGGUAGAUGGCGUUUUAUCAAUUCCACAUUCCAGUCAGCUGAGUUGGGAAGCAUCAAGUCCCUAACUCGUAGGUUCUGGUUUUGUUCAGUAGGAGGUCCCAUGGGUGAGAUUUGGGCUUCAGGAGACAGCCACUUGUCACUCCAGACCCUUAUGGUUGCUCCAUUUCCCAACGACCACCCCACUCCUUUCCUGAUAACUUCCCGUCCCGCCAAAAUACCCCUCCAUCCAUGAGAUGCUGAGUUUGGGGCCGAGCAGGAGAGGAGAUCAGAAUCCCUACAGUAUUUGUUGAGUAAAAUCUGGCCAAGCAGGGAGUUCGGGUUUUUGAGUAAUCUCCAAGUAUGUUUUGCUAGUAAAGCAUCAUUGAACACCUCGAUUUCUCUGAACCCCAACCCUCCUGCGCUUUUUGGAAGGGUGAGUCUGUCCCAUGAUAUCCAACUCAUUUUCCUGAGCUCUGGUUUAACGUCCCACCAGAAACGAGUAAGAACCGAUUGUAUCUGUUUGCAGAGCGAGACCGGUAGUUUGAAACAAGACAUGGCAUAUGUCGGCAUAGCGGCAAGGACUGCUUUCAGUAGGACCAUCUUUCCUGCGCCAGAUAGACUACUGGUUUAUAGUUGGUUGGUUGGUGGCUGCUAAUAAAUGUGUUAUAUCCUCGCACUACAAAAUUUCAAAGUCCUUGUUGAAUAAUAAAAUCGUUACUACGAAACAAACAUACGUUAGCUCGAAAGUUUAUGAUGGUAGUAGUAUGGUACAUGUAUAUAGUCACUUACAUGCAACUAUAGAGUUCUCCUUUUUGAUGGAAAUAAUAAAUUCCAUUAGUAUAUGCAAAAAAUGCAUUUAUGGUGACGGUAUAUACCAUAGCAUCAUUUAUGGUGACUUCAUUUAAUUUAAUUCAUUUUGACAUAUUUGUUUCUUUUGAAUCUAUAUUAAAACAUUUAUGUUACUGGAACAUAUUUAGCUUUGUGUUUCAUAUUCAUACCGCUAAUCAGGCACUAGAAGCUUCUGGACUUAAAAAAGAAAGAGACAAACAGUAGAACAUAGGUGUUAAGUUGAUAUUACCAAGAAGUUACAUUAGCAUGAUGCAUUUUUUUUUUUUUUUUUUUUUUUUUUUUUUUUAGCAUGAUGCAUUACAAUGAUUCAAUCAUGAGUUUGCACAUAAGAUACAUAAUUCUCCAAACUAUAAUACAAGUAGGGUUGAAAUAAAUAGGCGGGCAUCCAAAAAUAGCCCGACCUUAAUGUGGUUAUUCCUUGAAGACAAAAAAAAAACAAAGGGGAGAAAAAGAAGUAGACAUAACUAGAUCUCUAUGUUAUUUAAAUAUGUAUGUAAACAUAAAUGUGUAACUUAGUAUCUUGGUGAUAGUAGAUCAUGGAUAUCUUUCAGAAUUGGUACUCUGUAAACCAUAGACAUUGUGUUUUUUGGAAGGAGCAGAAGGUGGAAUUGGCAUUGUCUUGGGCAAAAAUCCUGAGAAACUUUCUGGAGGAUAAUAAUCAUCAUUGAUGAAACCAUGGUUAUGGUGAUGAUGAUGAUGAUGAAGUGGAUUUGGUCUUCUCACCUUGAAAAAUCGUUCUGGUCUUGAUGGUGAUGUGUGUCUUCUAAAGUACUCGGCUUCACAAGUCCUCCUUGAGAACAUUAUCAUAAUCACCACUAGAAUCUUCACAGCUUCUAUGCGCUUAUUGCUGAUCAUUGUAAGAGCUUGCUUUCAGAAAACUGGUGAGAUGAAGAAGAUAUAGAGAAACUAUGUGUUUUGUCUUUGUUGAGUAUUCAAUAUAAGGGAGGGGGUAGCUGAGAUUAUAAAAAAAAUAAUUGAGCUAACUAUUGUAUUAUACUAUAUGUUGAUAUAAAGUUGAUAUACAAGGGAGGUGAUUAUGACAUAUUUUAUAUAGAUGACAAAUUAUUCAGUUAUACUGAUUUGCCUCCAUAUUAUUAAACUUUUGAAGUGUUGUGAUAACUUUUAACUUCAUUUUAUUUUCUUUGGAUAAGGAUAGAUUACAUACAAAUAUUUACCAAUUAAGUUUAAUUUUAAAUCUAUACUCGCAAAACACAAAGAAUAUUAUUUUCGUUUUUAGAGACUACUUUUUAGAGAAUAUUGAGUCUACUUUCAUUUUAUUUUUAUUACAAACUAUAAAAGCUUGGGUUUGUACAACACCAUAUAUCAACAACUCUUCGGCAAAUUUGUUUUUUUUUUUGUUUAUCUUUGCUUUUAACAAAAGAAGAAAACCAACUAACCAUGUUUUUGAAAUAGUGUUAUGACCGAGACUUAUUAAAAUUAUGCUUUAUUAUAAUAUAUACAUGGCUACUUUAAUGUUUAGUGCAUACGCUAUUACUAUUUUAAUUAAAUAAACCCAACAAAGUUCGGUGUACUUAAGAAAUAUAAAUUAUUUGAUUAAAAGCAUGAAAGAUUGUGUUGUCUAGAGGUGGGGGUGGUUCGGAUGUUUUAUACUUUUGAACGGGUCUCUAGGGAAUUCAAUAUUCAUAUAGUAUAUGUUAAUAUGUAAAACGUAGCGUUUUCUUUGCUAAUAGAAAUUUAGCACCUGUUGUCCAAAAAAAAAAGAAAUUUAGCACCUUGAAUCAAUAAUCUCUUUCAGUAUGGAAUUAACCACAUGGUGAUAGAUGUUACAUACAAAUGGAGACUCAAACUCAAAACAAAAACUCAACCUCUUCCAAUAGAAUCCCCGCAACCAAAUAAGCUAUAACUUACAUUGACAACUUUCAGACUAACAACAAAAAGAUUUAAACGUUACAAAUGUAAGCAUUAUAAACUUCAGGUUAGAAAUCAUUCGUUGAACCAUAUUGUUGAACCAAAGAUCACAAACAAAACAUAAUGUUGCUGUUGGCCAAUGUUUGCUAGCGAUAAUGAAACAAAUAACUUUUAUAUAUACUUUUUUUUUUGACGAAAACUUUUAUAUAUACUUCCUUUUGCAUUUUUGUUGCAUCUGUACGAAGUUUUUUUAUUUUAUUUUUUUGACUAAAACAUCUGUACGAAGUUUAUACAGAUAAACCCGUUAUCUGAUUAGCGACGAAGUUUCUCAAGAGUAAUGUACUUCAAGUUUUUCGAUUGACAUUAAAUGAGCUGUGAUGAACAAGGAAUAAAGUAAAAUAAAAAGGACAAAGCGAAACAUGAGAAAAAAACAUAGGCAGAAUGGGAAAAUGGACUGAAGCAUUAAAUACUAUAACAGGAAAGAUAGAUGAUAUGGGACCAUAAAAGUUUGAAAAUUUAUCUUACAAAAAAUAAAUUACUACGUGAGCCCCACUGUCUCGCUCCUGUCUUCGAAUCUUGUUUUGGUAAAGAUCGAUUAGAUAUCUCCUCCCUUUCUAUUGGAUAUGUUAUUUUUUUUAAACAAGUUUAUUGUUUUUUUUUUUGAAAAAGAAAACAAGUUGAUUGUUACAAAAUUCCGAAACAAGUUAUAUGUUUCUGAAUCAACUAGGAUAAGAUUAAAGAGUGAAAGUAAUUAUGCAAAAUCUUUCACUAAUACAAUAAUCUUCCCAUUUCUUAAUAUCUGAGGUUUUAGAAAAAUAUUUUAUUUAAAAUAAAUAGUAUUUUAAUUUUUACUAUAAAAUUUACUAAUUUUUAUAUUAUAUGAUUUUCGUAUUAUAACGUUUGUUUAAUUGUUUUAUUAUUAGUUGAACUGUUGUUAUUUGAAUAAAUUAAUAAUGUUUUUGUUUAAGUAUAAAAAUACCUUUUUCUAAUUUGUGUGCAUACAGAUAGUUACAGUCUUACAGAUAGUUGAUGGUUCAUUCAAUCCUUCAUCCAACGCAAAGGUCGGCUAAUAAAUAAGCAACCAAGAUCUGCGCUCAACUUCACCGACAGAAUAGCUUGCACACUUUGAUACAAAAAAAAAGGAAUAACUUACGUACAAUACAGAUAUUUAGUUGCAUGGCAUUAUCGAAAUAUAUAACUUUAGCUUUGAUAUUAAUUUACGGCAUUUAAAUCACCAUGUUUUUUAAAACUACAAUAAAAAAAUAAAAAAUGUCUAUAAAAAUUUUAUCUUCUAAAUUCUGAUUUUUUUGCUAUAAAAAUAUAUUAUUGUAACAAUCAAUUUUAAAAGUACAUUGCUUAUAACUAAAUCAAAAAAAUUCUACGACCUAAAUUUUAUAGUAAAAUUUUUACAUGUACAGUCCAACCAAUCAUCCAAAUUAUCGAUACGAUGCAAGUAAUAUUAUAAUCGAGCUGAGUUCCUUAUAUCUCUAUACAGGGCCGUCUCAAAUUAAUGUUGGACCAUGUUCAAAAAAAUAUAUUAAUCGUACACUUUAUCACGUAAAUUUAAAAUUUAAUAACUUUGUCUGAUUUGUUUUUAAUUAUAAGUUCUACAUUUAGCAUAAUAUUUAAAAUUUUAAAGUUUGUUACCAUAAUUUAUCUAUAUAUUUUAAAAAAUCCUUAAUUUUUUAUUUUUAUAUUUUGGGACCCUAUUCGACCGCUUCACUUGCGCGUGCUGUUAGACUGCCCUAUCUCUAUAUAUAAUUAAACAAAAGGAGAAAUUCAAAAAGAAAAAGAAAUAUCAAAGUGGACCUAUAUUUGCGGACAAAGAUGAUGACAUUAUGAGAGCAUCUCCAACCCACCUUUAUUUCUACCUCUAUAAUAGCAUUUAGAGGCAAAAUCAUUACAACCCAUCUCUAUUUUUACCUCUAAAAUAGAGAUUGCUAUUUUUUCCUCUAUUUAUAGGGGAAGAAAUAGCAUUCCUCUAUAUUUUGCUCUAUAUAUAGAGAUCUCUAUUUUAGAGAAAUACAUUGGAGUAAAACCCAUUUCUAUUAUAGAGUUCCUUUAUUUUAGAGGUAAAAAUAGAGAAAUACAUUGGAGAUGGUCUGACAUGCAAAAAUGAAACGACAUGUAAUAUUAAAUAUUGUUGGAUAGAUUCAGGUAGCCCUACUUUUUAUUGAUCUAGUCACGCAUUUAAUAUCAUCUGGUUGCUUUGUAGGUCCAUCGGAAAAUUGCAAAUCCACCGGAAAAAUAAUUACGAAACACCCGACAGAAAUUUUGUUUUCGCUUGCUUUUCUUUCCAUAAAUUUCUGUAUAUUUCUUUUGGUGGGUCUUGAUUUCAUUGAUAUUAAAAAAGCCCAUGAAAAGCAAUACAUGAUUGAUGUUCAACUCAAUCCCAGUGCUAAUACAUUUUGAAUAAUAGCUAAAACCCAAUAGUGGUUCUUACCAAACACCUCGUUCAAACAAAACUGAAAAAACUAUAACUGGAGAUCUCUUCUCGAGAGCGAAACACAUGAUGGGCCUUGACAUUGGGCGUUUAUAUAUAGGCUUUACUAGCUAAGUUUUCUUUUAACAUUUUUCUGGUCUAACUUCUAGUUCUAACAAUUAUACUAAUAAAUAAUUAAUCAAAUUAAUUGUGGGUCAGAUUUAAUACAUUGGAAAUAAUGGAAUAACUAGGUGUUUUGCCCGCGAUGCAGGCUUAAACAUUUUCAUAAAUUUUUGAAAAAUUCUUUGUAUACUUUACUAGUUAUAUUGUGUUUUUCAAAAAGAAUUAUUGCUAUCAAUUUAGUAUCAUCUAUGCAUUGUCUACUCUCGAAUAUAUAAAUAAAUAUUUCUGAACAAUUAAAUAUUAAAAUAUUUUAGUGGUAUAAUUUAAACUUGGGUCUCUAGUCAAAAAACAAAACUUGUUUCCAAUUUAUGAAAAAAAAUAUUUUUUUUUGAAUGAGCAAAGAUUUAAAGAUGGUUAUUUUUUAAGAACAUUAACUUGUUAUUUCUGAACAAUUAAAUAUUAAAAUAUUUUAGUGGUAUAAUUUAAACUUGGGUCUCUAGUCAAAAAACAAAACUUGAUUCCAAUUUAUGUAAAGAAUAUUAUUUUUUUGAAUGAGCAAAGAUUUAAGGAUGGUUAUUGGCAAAUAAAUGUUUGAGAGCUUUAAUUUUUUUUUUGAGAUUCUACUGCUAUAAUAGUUUAAGGGUUUUUGAAAUAUUACUAAUUAAUUGUUAUUGAUUCGAAGAUUUUCAAAUUUCAUCAAAAUUCUUAAUUUAUUUAUGAUAAUAAUUUUUCAUUCUAUUUUAACAAAAAUUAACGUUAUUAAAAUAUAAUUUACCUUUUUUAUUCAUAAGAUACAAUUUUCAAAAUAUUUUGGCAAUUAAACUAAUGGAUGUAAGAUUUAAAAUCCGCUAUGUAAUGUGGUAUUUGAAUAUCACAACAACAAAUUACAUAGCGGUAAGAGUUUAGGUUUUUUUAGCUUUAAGUUUUGAGAUUAUUUUUUAGUGUUUAGGGUUGGUAGAGUUUUAGGGUUAGAUGGGAUUUAUGGUUAGGUUUAGGUAGGGUUUUAGGGUUAGGUUUAGGAAGGGUUUAGGGUUAGGUAGGGUUUAGGGUUAGGUAGGGUUUUUAGGGUUAGGCAGGGUUUAGGGUUAGAAAGGAUUUAGGGUUAAGUAGGGUUUAGGGUUAAACAUGGUUUAGGGUAGGUAGGGUUUAGGGUUAGGUAGAGUUUAGGGUUAGGUUUAGGUAGGGUUUUAGGGUUAGGCUUAAGAAGGGUUUAGGGUUAGGUUUAGGUAGGGUUUUAGGGUUAGGCUUAGGAAGGGUUUAGGGUUAGCAGGGUUUAACGUUAGGUAGGGUUUAGGGUUAGAAAAUGUUUAGGGUUAGGUAGGGUUUAGGGUUAGGUAGGUUUAGAGUUAGUAAGGGUUUAGGGUUAGAAAGGGUUUAGGAUUAGGUAGGGUUUAGGAUUAAAUAGGGUUUAGGGUUAGGUAGAGUUUAGGGUUAGGUAGGGUUUAGGGUUGGUAGGGAAUAGGGUUAGGUAGGGUUCAGGGUUAGUAAGGUUUAGGGAUAGGUAGGGUUUAGGGUUAGGAAGGGUUUAGGGUUAGGUAGGGUUUAGAAUUAGGUAGGGUUUAGGGCUAGAAAGGGUUUAGGGUUAGGUUAGGUUUAGGGUUAGGGUUAUGUAGGGUUAGGGUUCGGUAGGGUUUAGAAUUCGGCAGGGUUUAGGGUUAGAAAGCGUUUAGGGUUAGGUUUAGGUAGGGUUUAGGGUUAGCAGGGUUUAAGAUUAGAAAGGGUUUAGGGUUAGGUAGGGUUUAGGGUUACGCAGGGUUUAGGGUUAGGUCAGGUUUAGGGUUAGACAGGGUUUAGGGUUAGGUCAGGUUUAGGGUUAGAAGGGGUUAGGGUUAGGUAGAGUUUAGGUUACGCAAGGUUUAGGGUUAGGCAGGGUUUAGGGUUAGGUCAGGUUUAUGGUUGGAUGGGAUUUAGGGUUUAGAAUUAGGCAGAGUUUAGGGUAAGAAAGGGUUUAGGGUUAGGAUUAGGUAGGGUUUAGAAUUAGGUAGGGUUUAGGGUUAGCAGAGUUUAGGGUUAGAAAGGGUUUAGGGUUAGGUAGGGUUUAGGGUUAGUCAGGGUUUAGGGUUAGAUUGGGUUUAGGGUUAGGCAGGGUUUAGGGUUAGGUCAGGUUUAGGGUUAAAUGGGGUUUAGGGUUAGGUAGGGUUUAGGGUUAGUAGGGUUUAGGGCUAGGUAGGGUUUAGGGUAGGUAGGUUUAGGGUAGCUAGGGUUUAGGGUUAGGUAGGGUUUAGGGUUAGAUAGGGUUUAGAAAUAGGUAGGGUUUAGGGUUAGUAGGGUUUAAGGUUAGGUAGGGUUUAGGGUUAGGUAGGGUUUAUGGCUAGAAAGGGUUUUGGGUUAGGUAGGGUUUAGGGUUAGAUAGGUUUAGGUAGGGUUUUGGGUUUGGUAGGGUUUAGGGUUAGUAGGGUUUAAAGUUUGGUUUAGAAUAAUGCUUAGGAUUAUAGGGUUUAAGGUUUGUUUGUUUUUAUGUUUAUGCAUUUAGUAAUGAGUUUUUCGGAUAAAAUUUUAUAUUAAUAUUAUUGAUUCAUAAUUUUUCUUAAAAUGUUAAAUAUUUUAACUUGAUUUUUAAUGUUCUUAAAACAAAGUAUGUAUUUUUUUAUUAAGUUUUUUGUGACAAUAAGUUGAAUAUAUCUUAGACCAUAAAUCAUUAAUAUUCUUAAUCUUAUACAUUUUGUUCUUCAAGUUAUUGUUACAUUUAUUUUCUUUUAUACAUUUCUUUUAAUAUUUAUGUAUGCAUUAAUAAUAUUUUUUUAAAAAUGAUUUUUCAUUAACUAACGUAUUUAUUGUUUUAAAUAUAUUAUUGUUUUCGUGCACUUGAUUAAAUUUUUUUGGCGUUGGUGGUAUUUGAAGUAGUUGAGAACGUGAAUGGAUAUUUACUUCCAUAAAGUUUUUGGUGUAUGUUUAAAAAUAAUAAUUUGUAAAGACUUUUAAAUCAUAUGAAUAUAAUAUUCAACACACUUAUUUACUUAAAAUUCUGAAGUAGGUAAUUGCAAAUUUGCUGAACUCAUAGAUUCGUUGCUACUUUAUAAAUUAUCACACGAUGAGGUACAUAUGGUAAAGAUUAUUUUGAUGAUAAUAUAACGUCUAUAUCGUAAUGUGUGUUUUUUUUGUUUUAUCUACUAUGUAUUAAGAAAUAAUUAACACAUUCAAUAAUACUAAAGAGUAAAAAGUGUGUCAAUUGUUCAUAGUAUAAACCCAAAGUUAAACUCAAGUCGAGCCAAAUAAAUAAAACCCAAAGACAUGUGUCGGCCUGUCAGAUAGUGACUUUCCACGUGGAUAGCUUAGGAGAGAGGCAAACAUAUUUUUUUAUAUAUAUAUAGAUUCAUUACUAAAAUUAAUCUUAAAAUAAUUCAAUAUUAUAUUUUUAAUUAUAUAAUUAAAAAAAUUAUUUGAUUAAUAUUUAAUUAUAUAAUUUAUGUUUUUAACAUUUUACUAAAAUACUUUUUCAGAUAACAAUACAAUAUAUAUAUAUAUAGAAAUUAUCUUUUUUAAUUAUAAUUUUUAAUUUUGGAUAAUUCAAUAUUCUAUUUUUAAUUAUAUAAUUAAUAAUUUUAUUUAAUUAAUAUUUAGUUAUAGAAUUUAUGUUUUUAACUUUUUAUUUAAAGAUUUUUUCAGAUAACAAUACAAUAUAUACAUAAGUUAUCUCUUUUUUAAAUUAUAUUUUCAGAUUUUGGAUAAUUCUUACUAUUCUUAAUAUUAAUCAAUUAUCUAAUCAAAAUCAAUUAAAAUUUCGUUUUUAUUUUUUAAUUUAUUUAUACAUUUUAUUCAUUAAAGGUUAAACGAUAUUAACCACUCUAACUUUCAACGUGAGAGCUCCAUUGCGAAAAUUUACUUCGCAAAUAAUAGUUUUUAAUUAUAUAAUUAAAAAAAAUUAUUUGAUUGAUAUUUAAUUAUAUAAUUUAUGUUUUUAACAUUUUACUAAAAUAUUUUUUCAGAUAACAAUACAAUAUAUAUAUAGAAAUUAUCUUUUUUAAUUAUAUUUUUAGAUUUUGGAAAAUUCAAUAUUCUAUUUUUAAUUAUAUAAUUUAUAAUUUUAUUUAAUUAAUAUUUAGUUAUAGAAUUUAUGUUUUUAACAUUUUACUUAAAGACUUUUUCAGAUAACAAUACAAUAUAUACAGAAGUUAUCUCUUUUUUAAAUUAUAUUUUCAGAUUUUGGAUAAUUCUUACUAUUCUUAAUAUUAAUCAAUUAUCUAUUCAAAAUCAAAUAAAAUUUCAUUUUUAUUUUUUGAUUUAUUUAUACAUUUUAUUUAUUAAAGGUAUAAACAAUAUUAACCACUCUAACUUUCAACGUGAAAGCUCCAUUGCAAAAAUUUACUUCGCAAAUAAUAGUAUAGAUAUAUCUAUCACUUACAUUGGCAGAUAUUAAUUUAAUUGUGGUGACUUUAGUUCAUUAAACCGAUAUUUCAUCAUGAUGACCAACAAAAGAUACAUAAAUAUCAUUUAUUUCAUUGCAAACAGCAGCCUGCUAUAUUUAUUACAUGGAUCACACACAAGCAUCUUUGUUUUUUCAUCGUCUCACACAAGCAUCUUACUCCAGCAAUGAUGAAAAAUAUAUGAAGAUACCCAUAUACAUCCAACCUUAUUUUAUUAGAUAAUAAUUCAUGUGACCAAAAUGAAACUCUCAUGGACGACAAUAAGGUGGGUUGAAACAUCUCGUAGGAACAGGAGAGUACGGGGGACCUCCGUACGUCGGAAUCGGAUAACCAGUUAAUUUCCGACCUGUAAGACAAUUCAUAAGUUAUGUCACUGUUGAUAUGAAACCAACCAUACAUCGAGAUUUGAUAUUAUAAUAUAUAUUUAUACACGAGGAUGUUAUAUAUAGAAACGUACCAGGAGAAAAAGUUCGAGCAUGGGAGAUUAUGGAAAGCGCCAUGAAAGAGAAAAUCAUCACCACAAGGAGCUUCGAGGUACUUGACAUCCUAGCCAUCACUACGUAGUUCGCCAGUAUCUCUUUGUAUGUCUACUCUGCAAGACUUGGAAUCUGAGUUAUGUGAACUUUAGGUGAUUAUUAUUUAUAGACCGCAAUAUUGAGAUUUAAAAAAAUAGUUUUAUUAAUUUACAGUAUACCCUUCUGGCUUUCCUUAUUGUGAAGGGUUCCUCUUCAUACGCUCAGAGCCUUAACCAUUGACCAUUGUAUUACUAAAGAAAUUUCUGACUAAAAACACAAUUUAAACUUCAACUUAAGUUAUCUAAUUCAAUGGAAAACCAAAGAUUCUGUUACUAGUUUCCACAUUCCCGGCCUAGUAAAUUUUGUUGGGGGUGACAACAAAUAAGUAAUUUGGACCAAAGUUUGACUAGUCUGAUGAAUGUAGCUAUUGAAUAGUCUGAUGAAUAUAGCCAUUGAAUAGUCUGAUGAAUGUAGCUAUCGAAUAGUCCUUCCCCUACAUUAUCCCAAGGACUUAAAACGUGAUAUAAUUCCAACUGACCUAAACGGAAACUAAUAAACUACAUAUAUAAUAUAAUAUCCCUUUUUCUUGUUAUCCACGAAGUUAAAUCUAAGUUUUCUCCCGUUUUAGCUCUUGGAUUGUUUUGGUUGGAAUCUUCUUAGUUUAGUGUUCCGAGGCAUGAAUGCCAACCUCCUCCGUUUGAAGCUUCCUGGAGGCACCUUUGGUGUGUCAUAGUCAGACCACUUCUGAUUUGCUAAUUCUCUACAUCAUCCAGGUUUUCCCGGUAGAUUUAAUUAGAAGGGCUUUGUAUUCUGGUGUUAAAAUUGUUGUCACUUGUUUCUUUUCUUUUUAACUUUAAGCUUGUUCUUUGUUGGCAAGUUUAGACUUAUUUUUGAUGCUUUGGGUCUCUUUUUUUUUUGGCGGUCUCAUCGGAUCAGAAUUUCUAUUCAGCAUAUUGUGAUUCAAGUUUCCUUAUAUAAAACCAAUGCUUUUUUUGUAACACAUAAACCUAUGAUAUUUGGUAAUAGUAUUGAUAAAUCAGCUUCUAUAUUUAUCUUAAUUAUGCUCGUAUUUGGAAAAGGUUGAGUAAAUAGAUUUUGUUUGAUUUCACCCGGUAGCAAAAUUCUCCUUUUGCUCUUUGUCAAUGAUGACCGGUUAAUAUCGGUUUAAUGAAAAUUAAAGUUCCAUAAAAAAAAAGAAACCACAUAUCGAAAACUGAUAGUGAGUAGUGACAUGCAUGGACGUUGGAGAUAACAUUGCUGCUAUCAAACAUCAAACCUCUCUACACGGUUCCAACUAUGGAGUAUCAACCUUACAAUAUAUUCUGACUUAUCUACAAAAUUUAUAAGUUGAUAAUAGGUAUAACAAAUCGUUUUUGUCACUCCAUACCCUACUAGUAGCUGUACAGAAGCUAGUUAAAAAAAAAAGUAGCUGUACAGAAGCCACCUGGCUUAGAUAUUUCUGUUUGCUUUCGCAUGACUUCCUUUGCUCGGUAGUCUUGAGUGAGUAUCGUGGUCUUAAGAAGAAUUAACGAAGACACAAAGUUUUCAUGAAAUGUAAUCACUGAUGAAUUACAUAAGUUUUUAAAUGCAGAUUCAGACAUUUUUUAAACUAGUGAUAUAAUUGAAACGAUAAGUAAAAAUAGUCAUCUACCUUCAAUGCUUUACAAUUGUUUUACUAAAAGUUACUAAUUUUUACUUAAAUUUAAGAUAUUUUAAGAAACAUCUAUUAAAAAUUUAGUUCAUCAAAAACUUGAAUAAUUUAAAAGAAAAUUGUCAAAAUAACAUCUAUUAGAUAUAUAAUUUAGUAUUGUUCUUAAAUUUUGUCAUUUAGAUACUGUUACCUUUCGGUUGUAAAAGUAAUUUAGAAAAUUUGAUUUUUCUUUCUUUUUGGGGCAAAUUUCUUAAAUAUCAUUUUCAGUUUAUGUAACAAACUAGUAUUCAAAGACCAAAUUUCCUAAAAUAACAUUUAUUAAUCAAUAAAAAUAUAUUUAAACUCUAACCUUAAUCCAACCUCCUAAAUACUAUAUCCAAAACUAUAAUCAUAAAUCUAAACCACAAAAAAUAACAAAAAUGUGUUUUUAAUAUUUCAUUAGUGCUAUUGUGGUAAUUUUUUUAAUUUCAUUAGUGCUAUUGUGGUAAUUUUUUUAAUUGUAUGCUAAUUUUUGAGCAAAAAUUUUGAUUUUGUGAUAGUUAGGAUUAUUUCUCUUUUCUGCCUUUUCUACCAACUUGCAAGGAGUUGAUAAAAUGUUGUCUUAACGAGGACCAAAAUAGUGCUCCCAAUUGAUAAUCAAGAAGAGUCUAUUUUAUUGAAUAUGACGACCACAAAAUAAUUAAGAAAAUGGUUACUCACAUUAAUAACGACGAUGGUUUAAGAGAAUACUCCAUGCAUGUAGGCUGUAGCCCAAAGAAGAACUUUGCCUAAUCGUAUUUUUAUGAUUAAGAAGUUUUGGGCCAUGGAUACAUACAUCUCUUCAUGGUAAAUAACGUUUACAUUUGAUAAUGUGUCAUUUACAAAGCAUACGACUUCAACGACAAACAAACAUUUUGUAAACAUUAUUACACAUGAACGUGCGCAUAACACGGAUACAAAAAUAGUAUUUACAUAUCCACACAUACAAAUACAAAAAAGUCAGUAUAUAGUAAUACUGAUAUUUUAAUUUCACCAUAUAAAAACCAAUAUGUACAUUGUCUCAAAAUAGGUUGCUAAUAUUGCCAUUUUUAGGCCUUUUGUACAAUUAUUUAUUGAAAAUGACAACCUGCAAUAACACCCUUAGCUGCUUGGCUUAAAUGAGGAUCCGGAGAGCUUUUAAACGCCAUGAUACAUCGUUUCGAGGUUUUAAAUUUCUGACAACAUGGGCUUCCGAAUGUAGGAUUGCUAGCUCUUCUGUACAUAUGCAUUUCGACACAAUGCUUAACUUCUGGUCUGCAUGCUGCUGGCAUUGGCUUCUUUAUACAAAUGGGAUUUUUAAAAUUACAACCUCGAACCACACCAUCAGCAGCCCUUUGUUGCUUAGCAUUCGUGGACAUGAGGAAUUUACACACACACGAUACUUUGUUUUUAAAUUGAUUACAACAUGGUCCAUGGUAUUGAGGCACCGUGGGGUUGCCUCCGGCUAUAUGCUUAGUGACGCAUCCUGCAAUUGGUUUGCAUUCUGCUGGUACUGGCGUUGGUACAGGUUUCUUUGGGAACACAACGAUAGCCGCACCAGGGUCGCCUCCACCUACUCGCUUACCGGGUGGAGAUCCAUUUCUAUAGCCAGCGCUAGUAUCGCCACUCUUAUAGCCGCCGGGACCCCCACUCCUAUAGCCGGGGCCAUUAGGGCCGUUAAUCCCACUAGAGCCGCCGGGGGCGGUAUCCCCACUCCUAUAGCCGGGGCCAGUAGGGGCGUUAAACCCAACAGAGCCGCCACCGGCAGAAGGAGUGCCGAAAGGGGCUUUGCUCAAAAUUGGAUAUGGUGCCAUGGAUAUUAAAAAUGGAAUAAGAGUCAAAGAAAUGAUCUUCAUGGUUAAUGAAGAAUUUACUUUGAUUUGUAGAAAUGACCUUUUGCUUUAUUUAUAUUAGUUUUAGGUCUUUAAAUAGGAACUUGAAAAUUAAGAGAAUGGUUCAUAUAAAAAUCUGAAAUAUAGAAAGUGGGAAUCGAUUCCUACAAAGAAGGAGGGCGGGGGAUGGUAAGCCUCCAUAUUCUAUUUUUUUUUACAAAAACCAAAACAAUUGCGUCCGUCAAUAAUAGCUUCGUCCUACUUUUUCAUUCGGUAUUUUGUUGCAUAAUGCAAAAUGUAUGCGUAUUUACAGGGACUUAACGCAACCAAUGAAUUCAGAAAACUUAGAUAACUUGUCCAACUAAACAUAUACUAUAACUCAAGACACAAGAGUUUCCUUUGUGACUAAAACUCACAUUUUCACUACCUAUGCGGCUAUGCCGAAGCUGUAAACGUGUCCCUGCAAACAGUGAACAGUUCACAACUUUAGUAUAACCAUAAACAUUUCUUCCCAAUAUACUUACUAUUUUUCUUAGAGGAAACGGAAUCUACAAUAUGCUAUAGCAAUCUCAUCUCAUGAUUUGUUACCUUAUUUUUUUUUAAUAUGAAACAAAUAUUGAUCCAACAUUAUUUCUCUUGUAACAGAGUUUACAACUUGUUAAGAUUAUAAAUAAAAAUAAUUAGAAAGAUUAAAGUCAUUCCAAUAUACUUGUCAAAUAAUCACAUAUUGUUCAAAAACAAAUUUUUUAAAAAUAAUAUGUCUAAGGAAUUUACAAGCAAUCAGGGGUUUGGUGGAUCCUCAUGAUGUAAAAAUUAUUGAAAGUCUUCCAUUAAAUAAAAACCAGAUGGAUGAUAAGAAUGAAUGACAUUUUACUAACAAUGAGAAAUACUCGGUCCAAUCAGGUUAUCAAAUAGAACGGAUAUACCCUGAUAGGGAAAAACCACCAGAAUUUUAUGGGAUCACAGUAGAUACACUAAAAGCUUUAUGUUGGAAAGUGCGGUGCCCUCCGAAGAUAAAGCAUUUCUUAUGGCAAAUUCUUUCAGGAUGUAUAGCGGUCAUGAAAAAUCUAAAGGCGAGAGAAAUACAAGAGGAUUUAUGUUGUGCUCGAUGUGGAAAUCCGGAGGAAUCAAUAAAUUAUGUGUUUUUUGAAUAUCCUCCAGCACGUCAAGUUUGAGCUCUAUCUAAGAUACCAUCGCAUCCUAAUGUCUUCCCUAUUAGCUCUUUUUACGCUAAUAUGGGUCACUUUUUUUGGAGAGUCAAUCCCAAAAUGGAUGAUCAUCAAUUUGCAUGAAUAUUAUGGUAUUUAUGAAAAGGCGAGAAUAACAAAUUUUUUAGCAACUUGGAUAUUGAUCCAAGAAAAACACUUCAAAUGGAAAAAUUGGAAUCAUCACUCUAGGGUGAGGCAAGUAAAUGAUCCAACGAGAGAGCACCAUGUACAAACUAGUUCUACACUAGUGACUCAGAGACGAUGGUGCUUUAUAGAUGGAUCAUGGAAAGAUAAGGAAGUAUUCUCCGGACAAGUCUGGUAUAGCACAUUACCGGGGUUUGAUGCCUUACACAACUCAGACAUCGUUCAUGUACCCCGAACGGAGAACCUACGGGCGGAUAGCUUAGAACGCAGUGGUAGGAAACAAACGUCUUUCGUUGUUCACAUGGAUGUGGAGUUACCGAUUUGGUUUACAGAAUCAAUAUGAGUCUGUAAAUGCUUGGUGUCAAAAAAAAAUGUCUAAGGAAAAUAAAGACAAAUGGGUUUUUAGUAUUUUAGCUUAAGAACGUUUAAAAAAAAUAAAGCAAAAAAAACGUUCAAAAAAAUGAAAGAUUUAAAAUAUAAAUGAAGAGAAAUAUUUUAAAAAUAUUCGGAGUAGAAACAGUCUUGAAGAUAUAGGUCGUGAAAAUGUGAAUUCAAGUCACAUGGUAACUCUUGAGUCUUGGUCCUUCUCUUCGAGACUGAAUAUCGUGUGCAUCAGUCCAUGUCUAUCCUUUUGUAGAUAUCCAGAGGCACCAACGAAUUCUUCCAGAUACAUGCAAUCACUGAAUCACAUUUGAAGAAAGCCCAACAUCUCUUGAUUCAAUCUUCAUAAGAAAAGCUCUACCUAAUACCCGUGAAAGGCUCUCCCGAUAGGUUGAGGAUGAUGAGGAUAUUAUUUCCACAUGAAGAGAAAAGCAAGUUGGGAAAAAUAAAAAAGCAAGUUCGGUGAAAUACAUGAACAUCAUCGAAAAAAUUAUUGGGAUUUGAACAGUAAAAAAAAUGGUGGUUACAUAAAAAAAAAAGAUAUUUGGAUGCAGUUACAAAAAGUGGUUACCAAUUAUUAGGCAAUUGAAGUGGUGGUUACAUAAAAAAUGUAUAUAUAUAUAUAUAUAUAUAUAUUGAUGCCCUUAUAUUAAAAUGGUAUGUAUUGUUGAAAUUAUAAGUUAGACAUAACUUUUAUCAAUGGACCACACUGUUGUUUUAAUAGAAUAGAUACUCACUAUUUCUUACAUUGAUUACAUUUUUGAAAAACACCAAACAUACGUUUGUUUAUCUCAACAUCCUUGGAAUUAGUGAUACUUUGUAAACAAGCUUGCGCAUUGUUCUGUUUAUACUGCAUACAACAACCUUUUGGCGCUGGUGCCCCGGUUAUAAUGUUCAUUAUGCAAGGGCCCUUCCCUUUGCACGCUGGUGGAACUGGAGCAGCUUCUGCGACUUUGAUGGAAACUGGAAACGAUGUCAAGACUAUGAUGGUGAAAAUGAGAAUCAAUGGAAUGAUCUUCAUUAUAGUAGCUGGUUAAGAUUCCAAAUAAAAAAAAACAAGAUGGCUUUUAAAGUUUGUAAAAAUCAACUGUGUUUUUUUAAUGUUGUUUCAAGUCCUGUAAAUAAGAAAUUAGAAUCAAUAGUUUCUAGAAAACAUGAAAAAUGUAAGGUGGCAACUGAUUCCUAUAAAUAAGGGGAGGAUAUGCUAAUUCUAUUUUUAUUCACCAAACAAACAAUUGACUUGUUCAAUAUCUUCAUUAUGUUGUUAGCUUUGAUCAAAGUCGGAAAUAAUGUCAGUGAUAUGGUUAUUGCAAUGAGAGCCGAUGAAUCAACUGUGUUAAAUAUAAAUGAAGAGAAAUAUUUUAAAAAUAUUCGAAGUAGAAAUAGUCUAAAAGAGGUCGUGAAAUGUGAAUUCAAGUCACAGUGUAACUCUUGAGUCUUGAUCCUUCUCUUCGAGACUGAAUAUCGUGUCCAUGUCUAUCCUUUUGUAGAUAUCCAGAUAUAUACGUUUAGUUUGCACAACAAGUUCAUAUAAUCAUACAACCGAAAAAUAUUAAAAUUCAUUUAGAUUUUUUUUUUCAAAAAAAAUUCAUUUAGUUAAACUCCACAAAUAUUAUUUUGCAAGAAAAAAAACAGAUCAUCAUGUAUGGGGAAUUCCAGUUAAAGUCAACAUUUUAUUUCAUUUAAAGUUGACUUAGUUUCAUUUAAUUUUUUUCUUUUAAAUUUGGAGUAUCCCAUGCCCAUGAAAAAAUCCUGACUAAUCCUUAGAAUGAGUGUUGCGGGAUGGACUUACACUGGAUUUUCAAAUGAAAUCUAAAGCAUAGCUGAAACGUAGUGGAAUGCAUUUAAACCUUGGUCGUUUUGCUCACCGGAAUUCGUCUGGCAGUAGACUGCCAUCUCGUGGUUUUGGUUAAAAUUUCCAUUUCAAAAUUGUAUGAUUCGAAUUUGGUUUAUCUAAACCGAACCGAUUUGGGUACGUCUCUAAACGAAAUGCUGAAAACUGAAAAAAAAACAUGGCGGAUGGCGGAGACAGUUAACUUAUUUAUGGAAAACAAAAUGAUUUAUUAGAAUAUACCAACUUUAAUUUAGUUACUAAGAUUAAAUAUAAGCACAAUCACGCUGAACAAACCACUAGUUACGUAUAAAAAUGAUUUGUUUAAUCAUAUAAAAGUAACAUACAUUAUAUGAAAAUAUAUUUGCUAUAGCGCUUAUUCUCCAAUGAUAAAGUAUGAUACUCUCUAUUUCUUACAUUGAUUACAUUUUUGAAAAACAUCAAACACACGUUUGUUGAUCUCAAUAUCCUUGGAAUGAAUGAGACUUGUUAAACAAGCUUGCGCAUUGUUAUGUUUAAACUUCACACAACAACCUUUUGGUGCUGGUGCCCCGCUAAUAAUGGAGUUUAGGCAAGGACCCUUCCAUUUGCACGCUGGUGGAACUACCGCGGCUUCCACGACUUUGAUGGAAGCUGGAAAUGAUGUCAAGACUAUAAUGGUGACCAUGAGAAUCAAUGGAAUGAUCUUCAUUAUAGUAGCUUGUCAAGAUUCCAAAAAAAAAAGAAGAUGGCUUUUAAAGUUGGUAUGAAUCCACUGUGGGUUUUUCUUUUCAUUUUGUUUCAGGUCCUUUAAAUAAGAAAUUGGAACCAAUAGCUCCUACAAAACAGGAAAAAUGUAAAGCGGGAAUUGAUUCCUAUAAAUAAGGGGAGGAUAUGCUAAUUUUUUUUAAAUCCACAAAACAAACAAUUGAGUUGUUAAAUAUCUUCAUUCUAUUGCUAGCUUUGAUCAACUCGGAAAUAAUGUCAGGGAUAUGGUUAUUGCAAUGGAAGUGAAUGAAAUGAUCUUCAUCUAGUGAAUUGGAAUUUACUUUAGUUUAUAGAAAUGACCUUUUGCUUUAUUUAUAUUUGUUUUAGGUCUUUAAAUAGGAACUUGAAAAUUAAUGGUUCAUAUAAAACACUGAAGUAUGGAAAAGGGAUGGUAAGCCUCCAAAAACUAAUGGUGUGUUGGGUUAGUGGCUAGUAUAAAGUGUUGAAUUGUCUCCCACCUCUUACUAAUUUAAAACAUUUGUGGAGUUUAACUAAAUGAUUUUUUAAUUUUUUUCCCGUUUUAUGAUUAUAUGAACUUGUUUUGCAAACUAAAAACGUAUAAAACUCAAAAUCUUUACAUAACCAUCUACAAGAUAACUAAAUAAAAAAAAAGAUGAAAAGGAUAAAAUAAACAUAAACCAAAAGCCGAGUCAUUCUAUUGUUAGUUAUUGGUUUUGUUUUGGGUGCAUAAUGUUAUCUUGAACGUGACUGGUUGUAACACAAAUGUAUUUAACAAUAAGGCACACUCAAAUAUCAUAUGACUGUUAAUUGUUAAAGCAAUGAUUGUUACACACGCAAAAGACUCAAAAGCGACCUAAUGUUUGGGCUUGGACGACCUAGUUUUGGCAAACUCAACCAAGUCUUUGAAAAGCAUAUCCUCUGCUUUCUUGGUUUCACUAUUCAAAGAGAGGUUCCUGGUCUGUCCAACAAGACCACCAUCGUAAGAGGAAUCAGAGCCGCUGCUCGAGUGAUGAUGCUCAAAGAACUGCUGCCUCUGGUUGUGCCUUGAAGGCGGCGGCGGUAGGUUCCUGAUAACCUCAGUAUCCCAUGGAGCAGGAGGAGGAGAAGCAGCUGCAGUAGGAGGAGCAGGAAGAGGCUGCUUCACUCCUUGUGAGGAGCUUUGAGGUUUAUAGACAUCACCACUAAGAAAAUCCACCAAACCUGACUCUGUAGUACCAUGUACUGGUCUCAAUGGAGGUGGUGGAGGAGGAGGAGGAAGAAUAGGACUGGAAUCUCUUUUAGACCUUGUAGAGAGUUAAAAGAUAGUUUUAAGAAACAAAUGUCAAUCUCUCAAAAUAGGAAUACUAUACUCUUUACCUGUGAGAUAGCUGAGCAAAAUCAUCAUCUGAUUCAUCGUCAUCAUCAUGAUUGAUGCUGACAAGUUGAGCUGGAGGAGGAGGAGGAGGAGGAGCUGUUGCACCGCCUCCAUUUGAAGGAACAGAGGCCAUAUCGUCAUGACGCUGAAGAACACGCUGCAAGUUAUCGUUCAAUGCUAAUCCCUGGCACAGAAGCUCCUCGUCUCUGAAGAAAAGAAACAUCAUCAAAAGGGGAUGAAACAUCAGGUGAUGAAGCAAGAAGAAGAAGAAAACUCACGUGGUGGUGUUGACAAGAGUCAUCACACGUUUCUGAUAGGUACGACAUUGCUCAACUAAAUCAACCACAAGCUCUUCUUUCAACCCCUACAACAAACAGUUUAGUUCCCGUUACUUCAAACACAAACCUAUCAGUCUCCUUGUUAUGAACAUAGUAGCAAUAAGUAAACUCUUACCUCGGCGGAAUCAAGUGCUCCAAGUAUGUCCAUUAAAAGAUCUACUGAUCCUUCAGCACUUUGAAUCUCUUCCAUACUUCCCAAAAAAAAAAAAAAUCUAAAAUAAAUAACACUUCAGUCCAGGGCCGACCCUGAGAUUUUGGGGGCCGUAGACGAUUUAGUAAAAACUUUAAAAGUUUGGGGGCUUAUAUAAAUUUAAAAAAAUCAAAAUUUUUGGGAGCCUAAAGCGAAUGUUUCAUCUGGCUUGGCCUAGGGACGGCCUUGCACUUCACAACCAUAACAAAACCAAACCAAUAGAAGCUAGAAGAUAAGAGUUUACCUGAAGCUAGCAGCAUCAUCUCCUUGCAGUGAGGCCUCAAUAGCGGCGUCUUCAUCUAAUGGAAUGGGCUGAGUCUGAGGUGGAGUAAAGAAGGACAUAUUACUUUCCGUUCUUGGUGGAAACUCAAUUCCAGCAGCCUAAGAGUUAUUAUCAUAAUCAACGUUAAAAAAACCAUUAAAUAAAAAAAAAGACUCAUUGAUCUCUCAAAAGUUAACAUACCCUGAGUUCAUUAUAGGCAUUGUAGUAUUGUGGGUAUUGACCACCACGUCCACCAAAAGCUUCUUGCCAUGUAUCUAGCAAGCUUAGUAUCUUCUCCCUCACAUUCAGCUCCGGCUGCAUCAUUUGUUAUAAUUAGAAACUCACAAAGGUAAAGCCAAGUUUCUAUAAAUAGAAUGGAGAGAGGUAAGUGAGAGCUAGUUUAAACCUUCUUCUUCACUAUUUUGACCAUAUCAGUCAGAACAUUACGGUCUAUGAUAAGCUUACACACGUUCUCCCCACAGUUCUUACUUAAAGUCUCCAACGCCUGCACCAAAAAAGGCCACCCAAGCAUCAUCUUACAAUGAGUUUCAACACAUACAUGAAACCAAACCAAGUAUACUUACAUAAAGAGAAAGAAUCUGGACUUUGGAGUUUUUAUUUCCUAACCGCUUCUUGAGCACCUUCACUGCUUCUUUUGCUUGACUAAACAAAAGUAAAAAAGAAACUGUUACAUAAAAGAAACUGAAACUUACCUGUAAUAGUAUGGUUUUUGGUAACCUUACCUAGGGUUCAUGUUGAUAAUAUCACACAGUUCAAUGUUAAUAGCCCAAUCAGGACCAAUCAACAUAUCAUUUGUAGCUCUCUCCGCACAUGCAGCCGCAUCGUUCGCCAUCUUAUGAUGAUCUCUGACCAAUCAAAUCCCUAAAAGUUCUUAACUUUCUAUCAGUACAGAUCAAAGACAACACAAUCUCUUUAGUCCACAGCUAUAACAAACAAAGCAUAUCAUUGGAGGAGAAUCAAAGCAAAGAACUUUUUUUACCUUUGUUCAGACCAGAGAACCAGAAGAAGAGGGAACAAGAGAAGAGUUGUUAAUGGCUCAGGAAUCGAAGGAGAUGAGACGAUUUGAAGGGAAAAGUUUCAACUUUUUUCACUAGGACACGGCAAGGAUUAUUCUUUGAUCGUGUCAAGGUAAUAAGGUCAGGGCUUUGGGGGUCUAGAAUCAACUCCGACUUUUCUACUUCUAUUUAGAUGCACGAAAAAGGCAAACUUGUGAUUUGGGUUUUGGUCUUACUCUUGCUUUUGGCUAUUAAUGUUCACAGUCGGUGACAUUUAGACCAAGUCACCGUCAACUGUUAUUACAAGACUUCGUUUUAGAUCUCUUCUUGUCUUUUUAUAAUUUUAAAAUAAAGUGAAAAAUAUUAUUUUUCAUUUUUAAUGCUGAUUAAUAUAAAUUGGAAAAAAAAUCAGUAAUUGAAAAACUUAAUUUUGUUUACUGAAUUUUGAUUAACUAAAAAAUGUAAAAAAUAAUUAAUCAUAAAACUGUAUUUAUAAUUAUUAUUUUUUUUCUGUUAAAAAAUACAGUAUACUGCAAAGAAAUAAUGCGUUGACUUGUCUUUCCGAGGAGUCCAAAACCGCUUAAGCCUAUAACGUUUUCCAAACGCAAGAAAACAAAUAAGAAGCGGAAAACGCGUUUUGGACGAAGAGUGACUCCAAACACACGAGUCUAGAAAGAAGGACCUACCAGUACCAAUCACCACAUUUUACAAUCAACAAACACAGGUGCAUACACAGAGAGACGACUUCACUCUUCUUGAACUUUAGCGAAGGCAAAGAUCAUUGACAUUUGAUUCAGUUUUAGGCCAAAAGCAGCAAAAACAUAAAAAUAAAUUGAUAUUUAUGGAUGAGCAUUGGUAUGUACAUACUUUUAUAAGUUUAUGUUAGCAAACGCUGGAGUGUCUAUCUACAUAUAAAAUAUCAUGCUCUAUAGAUACAUGACAUAGGCUUACAAAGAAAACUCAAAAGAAAAGAACUACAAGAAGAUGAUGAAAGGGAUAGAAUCUUUGGCUGUACAUUGAAGAAGAUGUUCACGUCCUCUGUUUUUUCAUCUUCACCAUUCCUGGACUCCAGUUAUACGAACAGGCAAUCAAUCUUCUUAGCCAAAGAAGUGUACGAACCAGUGAAGAACUUUUCGUUUUUAAUCUCGUGCAUGUACACUCCGGAGGAAAGAUAGGCAUCCGCUCUUUUCAUCGCUGUAUCAAAACCAACCCCCACAACUCAAAACAUUUAAACUCCAAAAGUUACAGAGAUACGGAAUCAGGAAACAGAGAGAGAGAGAGACAGUUAGGCAUCAUGAAUCUAGUUGCUCUUGCAAUCAAUCUAUAGUGUUAAACACAGCACAUGAUUAGCACCUUCUCUCAUUACCUUUGAGCAACAAAAAAAACCCCAAAACCUUCAAGUAAAAUCUCGUGUAACCAACCAACCAACCAACCAACACAUCUACAUGAUUCACAUGACGCAUAGAGAAGACACAAAGACAUUAACUUUAGAAGACUCACAAUAAAAAAAAAAAUUGGCUAUUUUGUUCUUUCUGUAUCAAUCUUCAACAUCUAUUUAGUCUAAAGUAACAAAGCAUUGAUAUGACCAAAGAUAUUAAUAUAAAAAUGAAACCUUUACCUUAGACUCCUUCGGCUUCGAUCACUGUUGCUUCUGCUGCUACUACCACCACUACUCUUUGAGCUCCCACUGUUAAUCCUUGACACACCUCUCUGACUCCUACCAGAUUCUGACUUCAACCAAUCUUUAUCCUCCGAAACGGAACAUCCCGGAGAAGAAAACCAAGAGCCUUUACUCGUCACAGAAGCAUCAUCAUCCUCACACUUCUUCUUCUUCGUCCUUUUCUUAGCACCCAAGCUAACAGAAAACCCUAAUUUCAGAAGAAACCCACCACUGUUUACUCGAACCGGGUCGACCCACUUAUCGCUCUUCACCUUCCUCACAGCUUUACUCUGCUUUUUCCUUCUCUGAGGCAUUUCGUCGAACACCUUCCGAUCAUUCUCUUCCUCUGUUUUCACCUCCACGAGAUCCUUCAAGGAGAGCUCGUAGCACGACUCGGGCAUCUUGCUAAUCAUCUCCAUAAGCUCUCGCUGGCCACGAGCGAUCACCUGAGCCUUGGAAACAGGGGAGAGGCUGUGGUAAUUGGUUUGAACGUGAGGAGGACUGUUCUUCCACAGAGGAGGCGAACAGACGCCGGAAUCUGGAUGAUCAUCGAACGUUCUGGGGAAUAUCAAAUGGGUACUGAACGAUUUCGAAGAAGGAUCAAACAUUGCUUUGAUCAGACAAAUUAAAAAUGCGAUUUUUAGAGUCUUGUUCACAGAGCAGCUACAACACAUAGUAUGUAAUAAUAUUCUUAUAUAUAUUUAUGUCUGAAUAGAAAUUAGUAAAUGUUUUUUGGGGUUUAGUUAGGGUAUUGUUGUCAUUUGGUUUGAUAUGAUGAAUCAAUAAUGGAUAGAUGAAGAUUUUUAAUUAAAGAAAGCGUGCGACGGAGAUAAUCUCAAACCGUAAAGAUAAUAUUUUUAAAUUAGUUACAAAAGGAUGCUCUGUUGUAUGUUAAGUGCAGUUGCUGUAAUGCGAUGAAGUCAUGAAAAAGGAAAAAAAAAAAGAUUGCAGCAUUUGUAGUAGCUAAUUAUAACAAUCGAACUUUCUCAGAGCAUGAUUAACCCGGAAUUCUUAGGAUGAAGUUCUUAUUUGAAAAGUGAUUCUUAGCUUUUUUAGUUAAAAUUUAAAAAACAGUUUCUUAACUUUCGCUAAGAACCCUAUUCUAAAAAUUCCGGGUUAAUCAUGGUCUUACAGUAAACAAAUGUAUAAUCCGUCAUGAUUAUUUGACUAUUAUUGGCAUUGAGACUGUUUAAUGCGUAAGGGAUACGCCAAGAUUCGUAAUAAGUCCUUUUGAAUGUGUCUUACUAAAGGCAUAAGCGUGUCAAGUGGUUUCUUUUGUCUUUCAUAAUUCCAUAACGUAUCUAUCAAGACGACGACGAACAUUUUCUUAUUUCAUUAGCUGCUUCUAAUUCCAAAUAGUAAAGUCGUGUUAGUAUUGUUAAAGAACGAUCGGCACUUGCGAGCUAACUAUAUAAUUUGAUAUUCUUUUAUGUAAAACCUGACCUCAUGAAUAUGAAUAUAUGAUCAUGAAUCAAUAUCGUAGUUUGAAUUAAAAUCGGUAUUGAAUUCGACAAUCACGUGUAACCAUAUAAUAAUAACAAAUAAUUGAUAACAUUGAUAGCAAAUUCGAUCACGUCCCUUCUAAAAAAAACUAUAAAGUCUACGUGUAUUUAUGUAAACAAUAUAGUCACUAUCUCGAUAUACAGGAUAAAUUCAUUUGUUUUUCUCUGAAUAAGACAAAUUGUUUACACUACUCUCCAAUUAUUCGACUACGCAUAUAUUCGUUAAUGUCUACUUGAUAAUAAAAACAACUUUGUUCAUGUUAGGCUUUAUUGUCCUAAUACAAUCAUAGAAAUCACAGAAAAAAAUGAAGAAAUAAUGCAACACUAUAGUUUUCUUCAUCGUGAUAUAUAUAUAUCGUAUUACUACCGUUGAUACCGGAAGGACUUGAAGGGACCCCAGUUGUGUAAUGAGUACUGUCUACAAAGUCACCAAACAUCUUGCAGCUUUCAGGGGUUUCACUGCUUUUUUCCAAUCCAAUUUUUUUUUUCUACACCUCUACUUAAAUAUUCUUUUACCCUCCUACCAUUUGUUUCCUUCUAGAACUCUUUUUCAAUUCUAGGCUAGAAUAAUUUUGCUCCAAAAUAUUAUUUAAAGUAACAUACAUGUAUUAUCGAGCGCUGAUGUGCUCACAAUGACGACAGUGCUAGGGGACUGUGUCAAGUUGGAACUUGGAAGCUUUGAAAUGCAGAAAGCAGAUACAUGCUCGGAGAUCUGAUCGAUGGUGGCUAGCGAUAUGGUGGUUCAUAUUGGGGAACUUGGGGGAGUAACUGUUGACAUUAUUGUUGUUACUUGUUAGCACAUUGGUUAACUUGUACACCACGUGUGGUAGGCCGAUCGAAGCUUGCAAACUCUUUGGUGAGGUCGAAACAUAUGACAUUAUCUUACUGAACUCUAUGGUCAAUGUAUAUAUCAGCUGUGGAAGAGUUGAAGACGCAAAACGAGUGGGUCAAAUCAGAUGAAGUACCAUGGAACUCAGUGAUAUCAGAUUAAGCCUUAUGGUCAUGGAUUUGAAGCGACUGAGUUGUAUAAGACCCACUCGGAUCACUAUUUACUGUGGUCUAGUGGAAGAGGGAAGGAAACUAUUUGAGGCAAUGAAGUUGGAUUAUGGUUUUGUUAUAGACAGGGAACACUUUUCAUGUAUGGCGCAGAUUCCAGUUGGGCUAAUUGUUGAAUACUCAAAUUGAGUGUAAAUAAUACUAGCAAGCUGAUAAGCAAAGCAGCAAGCCAAGGUCCAAUCAGAAGAUUGUUGGGUAAAUUAAAGCUAAACUUCUCUGUCACAUUUCCUUUCUGGCCCAUAAGUAAUUAUUUGCUCCUGGCCCUUUGUUACACGGCAACCAUCAAAGAACUGUGGUUAUAAACAAAAAUAUUAGAUUGUUUCUGGUUGUGUUGCAAAUUUCAAAUAACUACUCAUAUGACAUUUCCAACCAUUUAUGUGACAUUCUGCCGAGGAAUCUCUAGGAAUAAAGAUUGGGUGGGUUGAUGGGAAGUUAGUCUGAGACACAAACCUCAAGAUCACUAUCCUCUUUGAUUUUAUUGUCCAAUUAAAAAUAGUAGCUUUUGACUUCGAAGACUCAGUGCAUUAUGUGCCAAUAGGCUCUCAACAUAAACCACCCAAUCUUUAUGAGGGGAUCAAAGUGGUAAGCAUUGAGAAGAAACAAGUUAUCAUCUGUUUUUUUUUGGUCUUUGGGAGAGUUGAUCAAAAAGGGUUAAACAGUGCUUGAAGAUAUUUUUGUUGGUCAACAUUUAAGGUGGGAGAGGUUGAGGCCAUCACAUUGUUCCACUAGGCAAUGUUCUUUGUAGGAAAAGCACUUUGGUAUAACUUUAUUUUUUUCAUGUUGGUGUUGUACGAAAAUAGAGAGAGAGGACAAUGGAAUUAACAAUGAACACAAAAUGUGGAAUACAUUAUUGUGCAUUCACAUCAAAUGCUAUCUCUUGCUAGUUUCUUUUUUCAUUAACCUUUUCAAGAAGUCUCUAGGCUCCUAUCGUCAUCAGAACUUUCUUUCAAUAAUCUUUAUGACAAUUCAAUUUAGAUAUCUAAAUAAAAGCAUUAUGAAGUUUAUAAGCCACCCAUAUUUGAGGAGAAACAAUCUUUCAAAUCUCUCUAGUACAACAGUCUGACAAAAUUUGUUGUAAUAUGAUAUAAAGAAAAAACAAAUAUUUCUAAAACAUUAUAUAUAGAAUCUAAGGUACAUUUAGUACUCGAUUGUUUCAAACUACCAAGCUUUGGAGCUUCUUAAUAAUUCUAGUAAGGGAGAAAAAUCAUUUUCUUCUUUCUAUAAGAAUCUUCUUGGUGUGAAUUAUUGCAAACUUGGGUGGUUAUAUAUGUGUACUGUUUGUGGUUGACAACAAAAAGAAGUGAACUGUGUGUGAUGUAUGCGUCGAUAUAUAAAGACAAAAUGAUGGUGUAAUUUAGCAAAAUGAAGAAAUUAAUGGACGGACCAUUGGUUGGGAUCAUUUUGGAGAACGAAGAAACAUAUAGAAAGAGAGUGACGUAGAUAGAAAUGUGGGGAGGAGAUUAUAUUAAAGGGCAACGAUGCUGAAUCUUCUUCUCUUAUAUAUCACACCCACACAAAAACAUUAAUUUGGUGAAACAAUUUCGAGGGAUAAUUGAUCAAUACAAAUAAAUAAUAAAUUGUGUUGGUGGUAGGAGAAGCAUGAAAAAAACAAAGAAGCAAAUAUGUAAUUAUAUAUGCUUAUUUGUAAUUUUGAAAUAGCAUAUUUAUUCAGUACAAUUUUAGCUUAAAUUAUUUUUCUCAGUUCACUUUUUAAUAAUUUUUUAUAGUUGGAGUAUAUGAACUGAAACUCAACUAAUCUUUUAAAAGUUUUGAUCAAUAGGUUGUAUACUUUAGAUAGAAUUCUCAAAAAUUCUAUUUCUGGAAAGUUUUCAUUUUUGUGAAUAAUAGUGUGGAUUUGGGGUUUUGAUUUAGAAAUUAGGACAACAAGAAUUUUUUGUUUAUAGAUAAGUAUUCUUUUAUAUUUUUAGAUCAAUUGUUGUAUUUUUUAAAAUAAUCCUCAAAAUUUCUAUUUUAGGAAAGUAUUCAUUUUUUAUAGAAAUAUUGUAGAUUUGGGGUUGUGAUAUAGAAAUUAGGAUAACAAGAAUUUUUGUUGAUAGAUGAGUAUUUUUUAAGAUUUUUUUUAUCAAUAGGUUGUAUAUUUUAGAUAAAAUUCUCAAAAUUUCUAUUUUAGGAAAGUUUUCAUUUUUUAUAGAAAUAUUGUAGAUUUGGGGUUGUGAUAUAGAAAUUAGGAUAACAAGAAUUUUUGUUGAUAGAUGAGUCUUUUUUUGAAAGUUUUGAUCAAUAGGUUGUAUACUUUAGAUAAAAUUCUCAAAAAUUCUAUUUUUGGAAAGUUUUCGUUUUUGUGAAUAAUAUUGUGGAUUUGGGGUUUUGACUUAGAAAUUAUGACAACAAGAAUUUUUUUUUUUUAUAGAUGAGUAUUCUCUUAGAUUUUUAGAUCAAUUACUGUAUUUUUAAAAAAUAAUUCUCAAAAAUUCUAUUUUAGGAAAGUUUUCAUUUUUUAUAGAAAUAUUGUAGAUUUGGGGUUGUGAUUUAGAAAUUAGGAUAACAAUAAUUUUUGUUGAUAGAUGAGUAUUUUUUAAGAUUUUUUUAUCAAUAGGUUGUAUAUUUUAGAUAAAAUUCUCAAAAUUUCUAUUUAAGGAAAGUUUUUAUUUUUUAUUGAGAACUAUUAUAGUUUUCGGGUUCUGAUUUAGAAAUUAGGAUAACAACAAUUUUUGUUGAUAGAUGAGUCUUCUUUUAAAAGUUUUGAUCAAGAGUUUGUAUACUUUAGAUAAAAUUCUCAAAAAUUAUAUUUUUGGAAAGUUUUCAUUUUUGUGAAUAAUAGGGUGGAUUUGGGGUAUUGAUUUAGAAAUUAGGACAACAAAAAAUUUUUGUUUAUAGAUGAGUAUUCUUUUAGAUUUUUAGAUCAAUUGUUGUAUUUUUUAAAAAUAAUUCUCAAAAUUUCUAUUUUAGGAAAAUUUUCAUUUUUUAUAGAAAUAUUGUAGAUUUGGGGUUGUGAUAUAGAAAUUAGGAUAACAAGAAUUUUUGUUGAUAGAUGAGUAUUUUUUAAAGAUUUUUUUAUCAAUAGGUUGUAUAUUUUAGAUAAAAUUCUCAAAAUUUCUAUUUUAGGAAAGUUUUCAUAUUUUUAUAGAAAUAUUUUAGAAUUGGGGUUGUGAUAUAGAAAUUAGGAUAACAAGAAUUUUUGUUGAUAGAUGAGUAUUUUUAAGAUUUUUUUAUCAAUAGGUUGUAUAAUUUAGAUAAAAUUCUCAAAAUUCCAUUUUUGGAAAGUUUUCAUUUUUGUGAAUAAUAGUGUGGAUUUGGGGUUUUGAUUUAGAAAUUAGGACAACAAGAAUUUUUUGUUUAUAGAUGAGUAUUCUUUUAGUUUUUUAGAUCAAUUGUUGUAUUUUUUAAAAUAAAUUCUCAAAAUUCCUAUUUUAGGAAAGUUUUCAUUUUUUAUAGAAAUAUUGUAGAUUUGGGGUUGUGAUAUAUACAAUAGGAUAAAAAGAAUUUUUGUUGAUAGAUGAGUAUUUUUUAAGAUUGUUUUAUCAAUAGGUUGUAUAUUUUAGAUAAAAUUCUCAAAAUUUCUAUUUUCGGAAAGUUUUCAUUUUUUUUAUAGAACUAUUGUAGAUUUGGGGUUGUGAUAUAGAAAUUAAGAUAACAAGAAUUUUUUUUGAUAGAUGAGUAUUUAUUAAGAUUUUUUUUAUCAAUAGGUUGUAUUUUUAAGAUAUAAUUCUCAAAAAUUCUAUUUAAGGAAAGUUUUUAUUUUUAUUGAGAACUAUUCUAGUUUUGGGGUUCUGAUUUAGAAAUUAGGAUAACAAGAAUUUUUGUUAAUAGAUGAGUCUUCUAUUAAAAGUUUUGAUCAAGAGUUUGUAUACUUUAUAUAAAAUUUUCAAAAAUUCUAUUUUUGGAAAGUUUUUAUUUUUGUGAAUAAUAGUGUGCAUUUGGGGUUUUGAUUUAGAAAUUAGGACAACAAGAAUUUUUUGUUUAUAGAUGAGUAUUCUUUUAGAUUCUUAGAUCAAUUGUUGUAUUUUUUAAAAAUAAUUUUCAAAAUUUCUAUUUUAGGAAAGUUUUCAUUUUUUAUAGAAAUAUUGUAGAUUUGGGGUUGUGAUAUAGAAAUUAGGAUAACACGAAUUUUUGUUGAUAGAUGAGUAUUUUUUAAGAUUUUUUUAUCAAUAGGUUGUAUAUUUUAGAUAAAAUUCUCAAAAUUUCUAUUUUAGGAAAGUUUUCAUUUUUUUAUAGAAAUAUUUUAGAUUUGGGGUUGUGAUAUAGAAAUUAGGAUAACAAGAAUUUUUGUUGAUAGAUGAGUAUUUUUUAAGAUUUUUUUAUCAAUAGGUUGUAUACUUUAGAUAAAAUUCUCAAAAAUUCUAUUUUUGGAAAGUUUUCAUUUUUGUGAAUAAUAGUGUGGAUUUGGGGUUUUAAUUUAGAAAUUAGGACAACAAGAAUUUUUUGUUUAUAGAUGAGUAUUUUUUAGAUUUUUAGAUCAAUUGUGGUAUUUUUUAAAAAUAAUUCUCAAAAUUUCUAUUUAGGAAAUUUUUAUUUUUUAUUGAAAUAUUGUAGAUUUGGGGUUGUGAUAUAGAAAUUAGGAUAACAAGAAUUUUUGUUGAUAGAUGAGUGUUUUUUAAGAUUUUUUUAUCAAUAGGUUGUAUAUUUUAGAUAAAAUUCUCAAAAUUUCUAUUUUAGGAAAGUUUUCAUUUUUCUAUAGAAAUAUUUUAGAUUUUGGAUUGUGAUAUAGAAAUUAGGAUAACAAGAAUUUUUGUUGAUAGAUGAGUAUUUUUUAAGAUUUUUUUAUCAAUAGGUUGUAUACUUUAGAUAAAAUUCUCAAAAAUUCUAUUUUUGGAAAGUUUUCAUUUUUGUGAAUAAUAGUGUGGAUUUGGGGUUUUAAUUUAGAAAUUAGGACAACAAGAAUUUUUUGUUUAUAGAUGAGUAUUUUUUAGAUUUUUAGAUCAAUUGUGGUAUUUUUUAAAAAUAAUUCUCAAAAUUUCUAUUUUAGGAAAUUUUUUAUUUUUUAUUGAAAUAUUGUAGAUUUGGGGUUGUGAUAUAGAAAUUAGGAUAACAAGAAUUUUUGUUGAUAGAUGAGUGUUUUUUAAGAUUUUUUUAUCAAUAGGUUGUAUAUUUUAGAUAAAAUUCUCAAAAUUUCUAUUUUAGGAAAGUUUUCAUUUUUCUAUAGAAAUAUUUUAGAUUUUGGAUUGUGAUAUAGAAAUUAGGAUAACAAGAAUUUUUGUUGAUAGAUGAGUAUUUUUUAAGAUUUUUUUAUCAAUAGGUUGUAUACUUUAGAUAAAAUUCUCAAAAAUUCCAUUUUUGGAAAGUUUUCAUUUUUGUGAAUAAUAGUGUGGAUUUGGGGUUUUGAUUUAGAAAUUAGGACAACAAGAAUUUUUUUGUUUAUAGAUGAGUAUUCUUUUAGAUUUUUAGAUCAAUUGUUGUAUUUUUUAAAAAUAAUUCUCAAAAUUUCUAUUUUAGGAAAGUUUUCAUUUUUUAUAGAAAUAUUUGAGAUUUGGGGUUGUGAUAUAGGGUCUGAUUGGUUGAUAGAUGAGUAUUUUUUAAGAUUUUUUGAUCAAUAGGUUGUAUAUUUUAGAUAAAAUUCUCAAAAAUUCUAUUUAAGGAAAGUUUUUAUUUUUAUUGAGAACUAUUGUAGUUUUCGGGUUCUGAUUUAGAAAUUAGGAUAACAAUAAUUUUUGUUGAUAGAUGAGUCUUCUUUUAAAAGUUUUGAUCAAUAGGUUGUAUACUUUAGAUAAAAUUCUCAAAAAUUCUAUUUUUGGAAAGUUUUCAUUUUUGUGAAUAAUAGUGUGGAUUUGGGGUUUUGAUUUAGAAAUUAGGACAACAAGAGUUUUUUGUUUAUAGAUGAGUAAUAUUUUAGAUUUUUAGAUCAAUUGUUGUAGUUUUUUAAAAAUAAUUUUCAAAAUUUCUAUUCUAGGAAAGUUUUCAUUUUUUAUUGAAAUAUUGUAGAUUUGGUGUUGUGAUAUAAAAAUUAGGAUAAAAAGAAUUUUUGUUGAUAGAUGAGUAUUUUUUAAGAUUUUUUUUAUCAAUAGGUUGUAUAUUUUAGAUAAAAAUUUCUAUUUUAGGAAAAUUUUCAUUAUUUAUAGAAAUAUUGUAGAUUUGGAGUUGUGAUAUAGAAAUUAGGAUGACAAGAAUUUUUGUUGAUAGAUGAGUAUUUUCUAAGAUUUUUUUGUCAAUAUGUUGUAUAUUAUAGAUAAAAUUUUCAAAAUUUCUAUUUUUGGAAAGUUUUCAUUUUUAAUAGAAAUAUUGUAGAUUUGGGAUUGUGAUAUAGAAAUUAGGAUAACAAGAAUUUUUGUUGAUAGAUGAGUCUUCUUUUCAAAGUUUUGAUCAAUAAGUUGUAUACUUUUGAUAAAAUUCUCAAAAAUUCUAUUUUUGGAAAGUUUUCGUUUUUGUGAAUAAUAGUGUGGAUUUGGGGUUUUGAUUUAGGAAUUAUGACAACAAGAUUUUUUUGUUUAUAAAUGAGUAUUUUCUUAGAUUUUAAAUCAAUUGUUGUAUUUUUAAAAAAAUAAUUCUCAAAAUUUCUAUUGUAGGAAAAUUUUCAUUUUUUAUAGAAAUAUUGUAGAUUUGGGGUUGUGAUUUAGAAAUUAGGAUAACAAUAAUUUUUGUUGAUAGAUGAGUAUUUUUUCAGAUUUUUUUAUUAAUAGGUUGUAUAUUUUAGAUAAAAGUUUCAAAAAUUCUAUUUAAAGAAAGUUUUUAUUUUUAUUGAGAACUAUUGUAGUUUUCAGGUUCUGAUUUAGAAAUUAGGAUAACAACAAUUUUUGUUGAUAGAUGAGUCUUCUUUUAAAAUUUUUGAUCAAUAGGUUGUAUAAUUUAGAUAAAAUUCUCAAAAAAUCAAUUUUUGGAAAGUUUUCAUUUUUGUGAAUAAUAGUGUGUAUUUUGGGUUUUGAUUUAGAAAUUAGGACAACAAGAAUUUUUUGUUUAUAGAUGAGUAUUCUUUUAGAUUUUUAGAUCAAUUUUUUUUAUUUUUUAAAAAUAAUUCUCAAAAUUUAUAUUUUAGGAAAGUUUUCAUUUUUUAUAGAAAUAUUGUAGAUUUGGGAUUGUGAUAUAGACAUUAGGAUAACAAGAAUUUUUGUUGAUAGAAGAGAAUUUUUUAAGAUUUUUUUUAUCAAUAAGUUGUAUAUUUUAGAUAAAAUUCUCAAAAUUUCUAUUUUAGGAAAGUUUUCAUUUUUUAUAGAAAUAUUGUAGAUUUGGGAUUGUGAUAUAGAAAUUAGGAUAACAAGAAUUUUUGUUGAUAGAUGAGUAUUUUUUAAGAUUUUUUUUGAUCAAUAGGUUGUAUAUUUUAGAUAAAACUCUCAAAAAUUCUAUUUGAGGAAAAUUUUUAUUUUUAUUGAGUACUAUUGUAGUUUUGGGGUUCUGAUUUAGAAAUUAGGAUAACAAGAAUUUUUGUUGAUAGAUGUGUUUUCUUUUAAAAGUUUUGAUCAAUAGGUUGUAUACUUUAGAUAAAAUUCUCAAAAAUUCUAUUUUUGGAAAGUUUUCAUUUUUGUGAAUAAUAGUGUGGAUUUUAGAAAUUAGGACAACAUGAAUCUUUUGUUUAUAGAGGAAUAUUCUCUUACAUUUUUAGAUCAAUUGUUGUAUUUUUAAAAAAUAAUUCUCAAAAAUUCUAUUUUAGGAAAGUUUUCAUCUUUUAUAGAAAUAUUGUAGAUUUGGGGUUUUGAUUUAGAAAUUAGGAUAACAAGAAUUGUUUUUGAUAGAUGAGUAUUUUGUAAGAUCUUUUGAUCAAUAUGUUGUAUAUUUUAGAUAAAAUUCUCAAAAUUCUAUUUAAGGAAAGUUUUUAUUUAUAUUGAGAACUAUUGUGGAUUUGGGGUUGUGAUUUAUAAAUUAGGAUAACAAGAAUUAUUUUUGAUAGAUGAGUAUUUUUUAAGAUUUGUUUUAUCAAUAGGUUGUAUAUUUUAGAUAAUAUUCUCAAAAUUCUAUUUAAGGAAAGUUUUUAUUUUUUAUAGAAAUAUUGUAGAUUUGAGGUUGUGAUUUAAAAAUUAGGAUAACAAGAAUUUUUUUUGAUAGAUGAGUAUUUUUAUGAUUUUUUUAUCAAUAGGUUGUAUAUUUUAGUUAAAAUUCUCAAAAAUUUUAUUUAAGAAAAAAUUUUAUUUUUAUUGAGAACUAUUGUAGUUUUGGGUUAUGAUUUAGAAAUUAGGAUAAUAAGAAUUUUUGUUGAUAGAUGAAUCUUCUUUUUAAAAGUUUUGAUUAUUAUUUGUUUAUCCAUGCAAGGAGAUGUUUAGAUUGCGGUUUGGGUCGUAAUAUUUUAUCAGGCCUCAUCAAAUUUUAUAAGAGAUCUAUUUAUGGUUGUUUUUGCCCCAAUAAGACACUUUUCCAAAACAAAUAUAUUAUCACAUAUUAAAAGAAAGAUGGUAAAUCAUUCUUCGAAGAAAAUGUGAAAGUUCCAGUGGUCACGCGCAUGAAAAUUUAGUGUGAUACAGAUUUAAAUUCGGAUCUAUUGGGAAUUUACAGAACGACUUGACCAUCCGACCACAGACAUGUGGUUUAUUAUCACAUAUUAGUAUUAUAUUAAACCGUUAUGGUUUAUAUACCGUGUUAUCGUUUUUCUUUACAUUUUAAGCUUUAACCGUUUGUCGAACUCUGUCGUUUACUCAAUUGAAACGUUAUUUAAUACGUUAUUAAAGCUAUGGUCAACCAACACCACAAGAAUGUAUUAAAUAACGUUGAUUUAUACUUUAUUAAAUAACUUAUUAUCCUAAUUUCUAAAUCAUAACACCACAAAUAUAUUAUGCAAGAGGGCUAUUUUUUGUAAUUUUAUGAAGGUUUCCAUGUCGAUGAAGCAACUAAGUGACAAAAACAACCGCCCAUAAUAAUCCGUGAGAUCCAAACGCUUUCAUCUUUCACGCGCUCCUUGCCUCAUUCACUAAGUAAAUUGUUCAGAUUAGUGAUGUAAACUACCACUAAUAACUCCAACACACGAAUCACGUUGAUCUCUAAACAGUGUGUAGUGGUCUUUCACAAACCAAUAAAGGAAUAUGUUGACACGCGCUGUAGAGCGUGUGUGGAGAAUGUGUAAUAGUUCGUAUGUUUAACACCACCACUAAAUAUUAUAAUGUUCGCUUCGUCAGGUCUGACUAAUACUGAUUUAAUUAAAAGGAUAUUUUCAGUUAAAUUUUUAUAAAGUUUGUCGUACUAUUAUUUCUCUCUAGAUCCCUAUUAAAGCCUCUGACGGAAGGAGAAGUUUAAAUCUCAUUAAAAGAAAAGAAGAGAGAGAGAGAGAGAGAACGUUUAGGCAGAGAGAAGAGGCAGGUAGGUGGACAGUCAUCUUUUUGUUUCUCCUUGUGGACACUUUAGCUUCUGUCUCUAUCUCUCUCUCUGGAUCUUUUGUCUUUCGAAGAUGUAAGAGAUCUUAUUAUUACCUUAAAAUAAUCGGUCUCUUUGUAAUAAUCUCCAUAGAUUUCUCUGUCUCUCCUCUCUAGCCGACUCCACAAAGCUUGAGCUGUCUUCUCAUACUAAGGUAAACUAUUCAUAGUAUUCAUUCUCUCAUCACUUUCAAAACCAUAACGUCUUCUUGUUUGAUAUUUUGUUUAUUCAAUUCUGUGUGUUUUGUUUCCUGUCAUUUCCAAGCUGUGAUUCUGUCACAAGUGUGUGUUUGUAAUAAGAUUUAUCUUAAAUUCUGUAUGGAGAAACUCAGAACACACACACGAGCUCUAUAGAAACUCGCACAUGUAUUUCAACAGAGUUUAAGAACCAUGUAUUAUGUUGACAAAGCCCAUAAGUUUUUAUAUAUUACAAAUUGGAGAUUUGAUGUAUUUCACGGAAUCGGCUAACAGACUUUGUCUCAUCUUCGUGUUGUUGGUGUCUAUGUUCAGUGUGUCGCAAGUUGGCAUAUUGUCUUAAUGGGUAUUUUUAUUAUUUUAUUUUAUUACUAUACAGUAACAUUUUAGAUUCCAUCUUUGACCACCAAUAAAAAUCUUCUUACAUUAAAGUUUUUUUAUUACUAUUUAAUAACCUUUUUUCACUUUGACAGCUACUUCUAAGCAUCGAUUCCUUUAUGCAAAUAGUGAGAAUCUGAUGUCAAGUCUUAUGAGAAAGAAUAAAAACAGUUGCUCAUAAAAUAUAUUUUAGUUUUGAUUUUCAUAGUAAGAUAUCUUUUUAGGAAUCUAUUCUUCUGUUUUUCUUUGGUUGAGAAAGGACCAGAGAAGGAGCAGUGAGAGAUUCUUGUUUUUUUCUCAGAGAAUCUCAGUUUGUGGUCUCUCUUUAUGAAAUCUUUAUUUCUAUCUUGUCUAGAUUCCGCUUCUUCUGUCUAGUUACUUAGUGGCCAAGAUUCACUUAUUGGCAAAAUCUCCGAAUAUAUCUUAUCUUCUUGCAAGUUGUUGAGAGACUGAACUAAAGCCUGCUUCUUCUUAUCCUUUGUCUUGUUCUGUGUCUUGUCUUGCUGAUAUAUAAAAGCUCUCCUGGUUAACUGCAGACGUGUGAAGAGCCUGUUUCUCUUUAAUGGCUAAAGUUUACUGGCCGUAUUUCGAUCCUGAAUAUGAGAACUUGAGCACCAGAAUCAAUCCUCCAAGGUAAUAAUCACCAACUCCUUUCCCUUUAUCACAUUUAAGUGUCACUGAUGCUGUUAAUAAAGCUCAUGCUUCUCUGUUGUUAUUGUUGCAGUGUUUCUAUAGACAAUACUAGCUGCAAAGAAUGCACUCUUGUCAAGGUAUCCAUCCUUCUUUCUCCCAUAAAAUUGAUUUGAUGAUUGUCAUCAGUAAAACUUGAUGUGUGUGUGUGUGUGUGUGUGUGUUUAUUAAUAGGUUGACAGUAUGAACAAACCUGGAAUACUACUUGAAGUUGUGCAAGUUCUAACCGAUCUCGAUCUCACAAUCACCAAAGCUUACAUCUCUUCUGAUGGUGGAUGGUUCAUGGACGGUAAUAUACACAUUUACAUUUACAACAACGACAAAAAAAUUCAUUAUAAUGAAGCAUCUCACUGGUUCUGUUUUCACAUCUUAAUAGUAUUCCAUGUCACUGAUCAACAAGGAAACAAGGUUACUGAUAGCAAAACCAUCGAUUACAUCGAGAAGGUACGUAAUUCCAAUGUUAUUCAAAGCCUAGCACCUAUAAUGAUUAACUAAAAGCCUUAAUUAUUACUUAGGGGUCUAAGAGCAUCUCCAUAACUUCAUAUUUUAUUUUAAAAUAGAGUGGAUAGUGAAGUAAAAUAUAGUAAUAUUAAAAAGUUUAUUAUUUUUUUCAUUAUUUCAUUUUAGAGUAAAAUAUGGAAUGAAGAUGGAGAUGCUCUAAGCGUUAUAAAUUAUAACAAUGUACUAAAUAUAACACAGUAUAGUAUAUUUAAUAUAAAGAUGUAUGAAUAACAAAAUUCAUAUAAUUUUAUUUUCAUAAGAUUGUAUAAUAAGUUAUAUUAAUUAUUAUAACUUUUAUAAUAAAAAAGUUAUAUAUCUAUUUAACCGCCUAGAACCGUUUUCAGAACAUUAUUAUAUAUCCAUUGGAUUGUUAUUACAAUAUAUAUAUGAUUCUUGUUUUUCUUGUCAGGUGCUGGGACCAAAGGGCUAUGCUUCAGCUUCACAAAACACUUGGCCAGGCAAAAGAGUCGGUGUCCAUUCACUAGGCGACCACACAUCGAUCGAGAUCAUUGCUCGUGACCGUCCUGGUCUCUUAUCUGAGGUCUCAGCCGUACUAGCAGACCUCCACUUCAACGUGGUAGCAGCUGAAGCAUGGACUCAUAACCGUAGGAUCGCGUGUGUUCUCUAUGUGAAUGAUAACGAAACAUCUAGAGCCGUCGAUGAUCCAGAAAGAUUAUCUACCAUGGAAGAACAGCUCAACCUCGUGCUGCGCGGGUGUGAACAAGAAGAUGAGAAAGUUGCAAGGACGUGUCUCUCCAUUGGGUCUACUCACGUUGACCGUAGGCUUCAUCAGAUGCUUUUCGCUGAUAGAGACUACGAGGCAGUGACUAAGGUUGAUGGUUCCGUGCCAAAGAUCACGAUUGAGAAUUGCGAAGAGAAAGGUUAUUCUGUGGUAAACGUGAGUUGCGAGGACCGGCCCAAGCUCAUGUUCGACAUUGUUUGCACGCUUACGGACAUGCAGUACAUUGUGUUUCACGCAACGAUUACAUCGAGUGGUUCUCAUGCUUCUCAGGAGUAUUUUAUCAGACACAAAGACGGUUGCACUCUUGACUCGGAAGGAGAGAAAGAGAGAGUUAUCAAAUGUCUAGAAGCUGCAAUCCAUAGAAGAGUCAGCGAGGUAAGUUAACCCUAAAAGAACACAUCUAUUUUGGUGUUUCUUGCAUUAGAAGGCAACAAGUAAAGACUUUCUGUCACAUUUAUUUUGUGUUUCUUGCAUCAGAAGGCAACAUGUGCUUGAGUUACUGUCUAUAAUUCAACUUUAGGGUUGGAGUUUGGAGCUGUGCGCAUAGGAUAGAGUUAACCCUAAAACACACAUCUAUUUGGUGUUUCUUGCAUUAGAAGGCAACAAGUGCUUAAGUUACUAUUACAUCUGUUUUGGUGUUUUUUUAGCAUUAGAAGGCAAAAAUUGCUUAAGUUUCUGUCACAUCUAUUUUUGAUGUUUCUUGCGUCAGAAGGCAACAAGUGCUUAAGUUAUUAUCUGAAAUUCAACUCUAGGGUUGGAGUUUGGAGCUGUGCGCAAAGGACAGAGUUGGACUACUGUCGGAAGUGACUAGGAUUCUGAGAGAGCACGGGCUUUCAGUGACGAGAGCUGGUGUGACAACAGUAGGAGAACAAGCUGUUAACGUUUUCUAUGUGAGAGAUGCUUCAGGGAAUCCAGUGGACGUGAAGACAAUCGAGGCGUUACGCGGAGAGAUAGGACACAGUAUGAUGAUUAACGUGAAGAACAAGGUUCCAAGCAAGAGAUGGAAAGAAGAAGGUCAAGCCGGAACAGGAAGAGGAUGGGCCAAAACCAGUUUCUUCUUUGGGAACUUGCUGGAGAAGUUGUUGCCUUGAGGGGAAAGGCAACUCAUGUCAAUCAGAUUGCAUUGUGUUGAUAAAAUGUACUGUAAAAUGUGUAUUAUGUAUGAAUCUGUGAUGUAGAAGGUGUAGUGGGGUGUUUUGACUCGGUCAGAGAUUUUUGAGGUUUACUGGAAAUCAAACCGAACCAAAACCGGGUUUGUGGUUACCUAGUCAUAGUAUAUGACCGUGAAAUGCACCAUUUGAACAUGUCUAUAAUAGAAUAAUAUGGAACUUUUCCUAUUGAAAGGUUUGCUUUUUGUAUGUGAAACAUGAUCUUUGGCCAAAUGUAUAAUAUCCAUGUAUGUUAAAAAUCUUUUUAUCUAAAGUUUGGACUAUUAUAUAAUGUGGAUAAAUAAUAGUUAAUUUAUUGAACCUAUGUUGUCGUCUUUUUUAUCAACUGGUCCAUUAACUUGGCCAUGAAAAUGAGUUGAUCGACUUAGCAUAAAGCAGUAAUAAGACGUAUACUUACUUACUCAAGGUUGUAUAACUCAAUGAAAAUAUACAGUCAAAUGUAAUUCAAUCUCUGAACAAUAAAUAUUUUAUGAAAUGAAACUCUAUUGUUAAAGUAAGGUUAAAUUUAGCUAAAAAUAGGUCCUUCCAUUUGUUAGUGACAACUCUACUAUGGGCCUUGACAAUAUCAUUCACCAAGCCCAAGCCCUUUCUGUGAGUCAACUGCAGUCCAACCAACGUCUCUCUGUUUCAAAUAACAGAGACAAGGAACAGAGUACGGCAAAGUUAGGAAAGCGACUGGAGAACCGUUUCCUUCCACUCCUAUCGAUUUGUCUUGACUGAGCUCCUUGACAGCUAUGUAGAUAAGAUUAAGAGCUGUAAAGAUAAUGGUCUCUAGAUCCUUCUAGCUCUUCUAUUUAAGAACUUGUAAAACCCUAAAGUUUAGUAUGCAAAAUAAUACAGAAAGUUUCAGUCUUGGGUCUGUUUUGUGAACUUUAAUAUGGUAUCAGAGCCAUUGUGAACCUUAACAGGUGCUUCAAUGGCGGGUAACCAAAAUCUUUACCCUUUUCCCAACAAUGUCCAUAUCCUUCACUCAGUCACGUUAAAGCUCAAUGAUAGCAACUAUCUACUGUGGAAGACACAGAUCGAGUCCCUUCUCUCCAGUCAAAAGCUCAUCGGUUUCGUCAAUGGUGCUGUAGCCGCACCACCACCAACACGUACGGUCACUCAAGGUGAAGCUCAAGUCGUCGAGCCAAACCCACAGUUUGAAGCUUGGUUCUGUUCAGACCAACUUGUCAGAUCUUGGAUCUAUGGUACUCUUUCGGAAGAAGUUCUGGGAACGGUUCACACUCUCGCUACAUCUCACGAGGUCUGGGCCUCUCUGGCCGAAAACUUCAAUAAGAGCUCUCUUGCUCGGGAGUUUUCCUUACGCCGUAGUCUGCAGCUUCUCACCAAGAAAGACAAGACCUUGUCCGUUUACAGUCGCGAUUUUAAAAGCAUAUGUGACUCUCUCAGUGCAAUAGGGAAACCAGUUGAAGAAUCCAUGAAGAUAUUCGGCUUUCUUAAUGGUCUCACAAGAGAUUAUGACCCUAUUGCAACUGUGAUUCAAAGCUCUCUCACAAAGCUUCCUCCCCCAACGUUCAAUGAUGUUGUCUCUGAAGUUCAGGGCUUUGACAGCAAACUUCAGUCUUAUGAAGAACAAGUUGCAGUAACUCCACAUCUUGCGUUCUCUACUCAACAAGCACCCCUCUCUCAAGAGUACAAGAACACUGCUCCAUCUUACAAUCCCAACUAUAGAGGAAGAGGUCGCUCUGGUUUCAACCGUGGAAGAGGAGGUUACUCAUCCCGAGGCCGUGGCUUCUAUCAACAUCAGACAACCACUGGAGGCUCUGGUGAACGUCCUACCUGCCAGAUCUGUGGACGCAUUGGCCACACAGCCUUGAAGUGUUAUAAUCGGUUUGAUAACAACUACCAAAGCCAUGCUGCCCUCACCUCUCUGCGUGUUGCUGAUGAGAACGGGAAUGAAUGGUAUCCAGACUCAGGUGCAUCAGCUCAUGUGACCUCAAACUCAACUCAACUUCGAAAUGUCCACCCUUAUGAAGGAAAUGACGCAGUCAUGGUUGGGGAUGGAGCCUACUUGCCUAUCACUCAUACUGGAUCGACUACCAUUUCUUCAGCCUCAGGUACUAUCCUUCUCUCAGAUGUUUUGGUAUGUCCUGAUAUAAAGAAGCCUUUACUCUCUGUAUCGAAACUUUGUGAUGAUCAGAACUGUGGAGUUUUCUUUGAUGCUCAUCAUGUAUAUAUCAUUGACUUACAAAAGCUGAAGGUGGUGGCAAAGGGUCCACGAAAUAAUGGCUUGUAUCAGUUGGAGAGUACAAAGAUGGAAGUGAACUUCUCAGACAGGCAUGUUGCAGCUUCAGAAGCAGUCUGGCACCAUCGUCUUGGUCACUCCAAUCAGCGGCUUCUCCAACAACUAAGUAGCAGUAAGGACAUCAUCAUCAAUAAGAGCAGAACUACCCCUAUUUGUGAGCCUUGCCAGAUGGGGAAGAGCAGUAGAUUUCAGUUUUUUUCUUCCUUUUCUAGUGUCUCAAAGCCCCUAGAUCGUUUACACUGUGAUCUAUGGGGUCCUUCUCCAAUUGUUUCCAACCAAGGUUUUAGAUACUAUGCUGUGAUUGUGGAUGAGUACUCUAGAUACUCUUGGUUGUAUCCAAUGAAAAAUAAAUCAGACUUCUUCUCCAUAUUUGUUGCUUUCAAGAGUUUGGUUGAAAAUCAGUUUACAACUAAAGUCAAAGAAUUUCAGAGUGAUGGGGGGGAGAGUUUACAAGUAAUAAGUUCAGAGAGUUCUUACAAGCCAAUGGGAUUCAACAUCGGAUCUCUUGUCCUUAUACGCCUCAACAGAACGGUUUAGCUGAGCGCAAACACAGGCACAUCAUCGAGCUUGGUCUGGCCAUGAUGUUCCAGUCACAUCUUCCUCUGCAUCAUUGGGUCGAAGCCUUCUACACGGCGAGUUAUGUGGGUAAUCUCCUACCAACAGUUGAAGCAGAAAACGUCAAGAAGAGUCCUUUUGAGCUUCUCAUGGGAAGAAAGCCAAUCUAUUCUUCACUUCGAGCCUUUGGCUCAACCUGUUACCCCUGCUUAAGACCCCACACCAGCCACAAAUUUGAACCAAGAUCCUUGAAAUGUGUGUUCAUUGGUUACUCACCUCAAUACAAAGGAUAUCGCUGUCUUUACCCACCCACUGGGAAAGUGUAUAUCACAAGGCAUGCAGUGUUUGAUGAAGAUAACUUUCCCUUCAAGUCAGACUACAAAUCUUUUGUCCCUCGCUACAAGACUGAUCUUCUCAAAGCAUGGCAAUUGGCAACUGAAGCUCAAGAGGAACCAGUCCCUGAGAAUCAAAUAUCACGGUUCUUAACUCCUCCUUUUAGAGAUGAUGAUCAACCUGCACACGCUCCUCAAGCUGAAGCUCACAAUGAUCAUGUCGAGGUUGAAGUCAAUGCUCCACCUCAAGCCCCAGUUCAAGCCGCUGCUCCACAAGAAAAUCUCCACCCAAUGCAAACCAGAGGCAAGUCUGGCAUACACAAACCUAACACCCGUUAUGUACUACUUGCGCCGAAGUAUGACACCUCUAUACCGAAAAAUAUAGCUGAGGCAAUGGCUCAUCCUGGUUGGAACGGUGCUGUCUCAGAGGAGAUAGGAAACAUUCACAUGCUUCACACUUGGACAUUGGUUCCCUAUACUGAAGAUAUGAACGUUUUGAGCAGCAGGUGGAUCUUCACGGUUAAAUACAACCCCGAUGGAACUGUCAGGAAGCUCAAAGCACGUCUGGUGGUUAAAGGCUUUGAACAGGAGGAGGGCUUGGAUUAUUUAGAAACAUUCAGCCCUGUUGUCAGGACUGCAACGAUUCGGUUGGUCUUAAAUGUGGCUGUCUCUAAAGGAUGGAAAGUGAAACAGUUGGACGUCACAAGUGCUUUUCUUCACGGCGAGCUUCAGGAACCUGUCUACAUGUUCCAACCUGGUGGUUUUGUGGAUCCAGAAAGACCGAACCAUGUCUGCAAGCUCACAAAGGCCCUCUACGGUCUUAAACAAGCCCCACGGGCAUGGUUUGAUACCUUCAGCAACUUUCUCAUUGAUUUUGGAUUCAUGUGUAGUAAAUCUGAUCCCUCUCUUUUCACUUAUCACAAACAAGGCCAAACCCUAGUCCUGUUGCUUUAUGUAGACGAUAUACUGCUCACGGGUAAUGAUGAUGCUCUGCUACAACGGUUAAUGGAAACGCUUAACAGCAGUUUCUCGAUGAAAGAUCUUGGUGAACCUCACUACUUCUUGGGGAUCGAGUUAAAGUCUCAUUCUGAAGGAUUAUUCAUGCAUCAGAAAGCCUAUGCUGAAGAUAUUUUACAUCAAGCUGCGAUGAGUGAUUGCAAUCCGAUGCCAACUCCUCUUCCUCAACGCAUAGAACACCUGAACAAUGAUCCGUUCCCUGAGCCAACUUACUUUCGAAGCUUAGCAGGAAAGCUCCAAUAUCUUACUAUCACGAGACCCGACAUCCAAUACGCUGUGAAUUAUGUUUGUCAACGGAUGCACCUUCCCACCAUCUCUGACUUUGGUCUACUCAAGCGCAUUCUUAGAUAUAUCAAGGGCACGUUGGAGCUAGGACUACACCUAUAUAAGGACUCCUGCCUCACCCUCUCAGCCUUUUGUGAUAGUGACUGGGCAGGUUGCUCUGAAACUAGAAGGUCCACCACCGGCUUCUGUACACUGCUUGGUCCUAACCUGAUCUCAUGGUCCGCUAAACGUCAGCCAACUGUCUCACGGUCCUCUACAGAAGCGGAAUAUAGAGCUUUGGGAGCUACAGCUCAAGAGAUUGCCUGGAUAUCAUGUCUUCUCCGAGAUCUUAACAUCUCUCAGCCCAUGUCGACGCUGCUCCUCUGUGACAAUCUUUCUGCCGUCUAUCUCAGUACCAAUCCUGCUCUUCAUAACAGAUCAAAACAUUUUGAUACUGAUUAUCAUUAUAUAAGAGAACAGGUUGCUCUCGGGUUGAUUGAGACACGACAUAUCCCAGCAACGAGACAGACGGCUGAUAUCUUCACCAAAUCCUUGCCACGGAAGGCAUUCAUGGAGUUGAGGAGCAAACUUGGUGUAGCUGAACCUCCUCCAAGUUUGAGGGGGAAUGUUAGUGACAACUCUACUAUGGGCCUUGACAAUAUCAUUCACCAAGCCCAAGCCCUUUCUGUGAGUCAACUGCAGUCCAACCAACGUCUCUCUGUUUCAAAUAACAGAGACAAGGAACAGAGUACGGCAAAGUUAGGAAAGCGACUGGAGAACCGUUUCCUUCCACUCCUAUCGAUUUGUCUUGACUGAGCUCCUUGACAGCUAUGUAGAUAAGAUUAAGAGCUGUAAAGAUAAUGGUCUCUAGAUCCUUCUAGCUCUUCUAUUUAAGAACUUGUAAAACCCUAAAGUUUAGUAUGCAAAAUAAUACAGAAAGUUUCAGUCUUGGGUCUGUUUUGUGAACUUUAAUACCAUUGAGGAAGGCUAAUAAGAGUAGAUGUGAGAAAGUCGAAAAUCGAUAAAAAGGAGUGCGGCCUGGGAUAAGGCGAACCAGCCUAGCUAUCUAGAUUCUAGUCUAAAGUCUAAACUAUGCAUGAAACGAAGAAAAACUGAAAAAGUAAACGGCUUGCUGUUUCCAUGUCCCUUCUAAAUAAUACUAGGGCAGUUCCCGGGCUACGCCCGGGUUAUUUUCUAUGAAAAUAUUAAAAUAGAAUAUUAUAUUAGUUUAAUAUAUUUUUGUGUAAAUCAUGUUUUAAUGUAAAAUAGUGUUUGGAUUAAAAUAAUCAUUGAAUGAAAAAAAAGGUAUUAUCGAUGGCUAUUAGAACUUAAUGAUACAAUGUUUAUUUUAAUUGACAUAGGAAGCAGUAAUGUAAAUUUAAAAACAGCUGGUAGAUCAGUUUUAAUAUUUAAGUUUGUUAUAAAUCAUGUUUAGAAGCAGAGUAAAGUUAUUAUUAUUAUUAAGAGCAAAUGCUAAAGUCUUAAAACAAAGAAGCAGAAAUUAUAAAUAAAAUGGUAUAAUUUUUUACGGAGAGGGUGGCAGAUGUGAUGAGAAUUUCUUCAGUUAGAGAGCCUGAAAUUUAUUUUGAAAUAAAUCAAUGAACAUAACUUAGUAACAUGAAUCAAUUUACUUAACUAAUAGAAUAGGGAGACGUACUUGAAAGUAGCGAGAUAUUCAUCAUAAGGGAAUGAGUUUUAACACUGAUUCAUUUCUGUUGAUAGCUCGAGUACUGCAUAGGAGAUAAAUGUGAAUUAUUAGAUAGAUAACCCCUAAAGAAACUUUCAAUGAGAUUCUGAGUUUAAAUUUUACUUACUGUCAUAUGAACAAAGGCGGUUGAAAAUUUCUUUGUAGACUAUGUUCUUCACUUUUUGUUUGUGUGAGUCUUCGCCUUUGAUGAUUUUUAGUCCUGCUUUGCUUGUUACAUGUGAGAGGGCCGCAUAGAGUUGACCAUGUGCGAAGACCGGUCUAGGUAGAUCUAUGAUAACCUCUUUUAAGCUUUGCCCCUGGCUUUUGUUGAUAGUCAUUGCAUAACACAAUCUGAUAGGGAAUUGUCGUUGACGUAAAGUAAACGGUAGCUUUGUUUCACCAUGCAAGAGGACAAUUCUUGGGAUAAAAACUUCUUUUCCAAUGUGUGAGCCAGAUAUUAUAUUUGCCUUAAGCAUUCUUUCGCCUAUAUGGGUUAGGAUCAUACGGGUACCAUUACAUAAUCAUUUUUUAUGAUUUAUGUUUCGCGGAAGCAUUAUCGGGGCCCCAACUUUGAGAGUGAGUUUAUGAGAAGGCAAUCCUGGAAACUCCAUGGAAUUGAGAUACUCAAUCGCGUAUAAAGUAUCAUUUUGAUUAGAUUGAGUUUCCGAAACCUCAAAGCUAUCGUAACUGUAGUAGUCUUUUGACUCCCCGUCGGUUUUGGAGAUUGUAUAUGC